rnacentral:lncRNA from 1 species
AACAAAGUUCAUGACCAAUUUCACCACCAAAUUAGUCCAGCACGCCAAACUUAAGGAGAUCAACAAGGUUUCAUGACCAAAUUCGCCACCAAAUCAGUUCAUCAUAUGCCAUACUUGAGGAAAUCAACAGAAUUGCAUAACCAAUUUCACCACCAAAGCAAGUUCAUCGCAUGCCGAACUUGAGGAAAUUAAGAGAGUUCAUGACCAACUUCACCACCAGACCACUACCUACUGGAUCCAAGACGAUCAACGAAGCAAAACAAGGAAGAAAAGACACCAAACAUGACCACAUCAACAAGGCGUCUCUCACACUCUCGCGCCGGCCACCUCCAUGAGCACUACCGCUACCACUACCUACUCGACCUUGACGUGGAAGACGUCCUUGCGCUCCUCCUCCUUGACCUUGAGCAGGGUGACCCAGAGCACGCCAUUCUUCAUCUCGGCCUUGAUCCUGUCCAUCUUGUACGCGUCAGCAGCGGGCAUCUCGAUGCGGCGGUUGUACCUCGGCACCGCGGAGUCGUCGUCGCCGUCCCAGGGCUGCUUCUCGCCCUCGCCCUCGAUCACCAGGAUGUUCUUGUCCGCGCGCACCUUCACAUGCUCCUUGGUCAGCCCCGGCAUCGGCACCUUGAGGUACACCGCGUCGUCGUCCUCCUUGGCCACCCAGCGUCCGAGCCGCGACGCCCCAGCACCAGCAGUGGAGGAGAGGCCGGUCUGAGUUGCGACGUCCUCCAUGAGAGACAGCAGACGGGCCAUGCUGGUCCGCGCGCCGAGCGGGUCGAGCACGUCUGCAGAAUCAACACCAAGGACGGCAAAAGCAGAUCAGAACGCUGAUUUGACUCGCGAUGUUGAGACUUCAGAACGAACGCAAAGAAAUGGCGGCCGUGGGGAACGGAAGCAUACCCUGCGAGAAGAAGCUGGGGAUGACGCGGCCGCGGCCGCUGUAGUCGUCGUCGUCGUAGCGGCUGACCUCCUUGCCCUUGGCGUUGUACGGGCGGUGGUCGGCUGUGACGGCGGGGGAGUGGAGGGGGCCGAAGGCCACGGGAGCACCGGAGUUGAGGAGGCUGGCCGGCGCGGCACCCUUGCAAGCGACGGCGGAAGCCAUGGUAUCUCUCUUCUCUCUCUCCUCUUUCUCUCUCUUCUUUCCCUCUCUCUCUCUCUCUUUCUUCUGCUGUGAUUUUGGAUUCUUGUGGUGAGCGAGAAGGGGUGCGAAAUGGAGUGGGUUUUGUAAACCGGGAGCGGGAAGCUUUCUUGGGGGAGGGGGUGGGGAGAUGGGUUUAGAAGGUUCUCGAGAGAUCGGUUGGGCUCUCGAGCCUUCGAGAAAGAUCGCGCGACCACAGCUUUAUGAUUCGUGCUGCUUGAUGUACGAUCGGGGCUCGUGGAUGAAAAUAAUCAUUGAUCUGCUGUGGUGCGCAAGGCAAGAGAAGUUGAUGUACGUCGGCUUAUGAGUGAUUUGCUUUCUAAAGCUGAAGGUUGUUACUUGGUUCAUCUGCACCAUACACCAUUAUGAGUGAUUUGCUUUCUCUAGUGUGCUUGCCGCUUGGCAAUAAAGCAACCAAAACCAUACACCAUUUUCUUCUUCGAAAUAAUUCUUGUGUUACUCAAUUAGUGAUUACAAUCACGGUUGAUAACGUCCAAAACAUCAUCUGAGCCAAAUCCGAGCCAUACCGCAGUUCGGCCUAGGGACCUAUGAAAAUUUGCCAACACGUGACUAGAAGAAUUCUUAAUCAACACCAUUAUUUUGCGAAUGAAAAAAUGACAAAUGUACACAUUGUGAAAAUCCAAACAAACAACCAAACAUUCUAUGACGUCAAAACAUACACGGCCUUAUUUAAUGGGCUGUUAUUUAAUGUGCACGUAGCUACAUGUCAGGCGACUGGAUUUUCAUAUUCGAUCGGUCAAUUUUCUUGCCGUUGAUUCAAGGUACUUUAUGUGAUACCUUCUCCGUCCGAAAAUACUUGUUCUAGAAAUGAAUAAAACGGAUGUAUCUAUAAUUAAAAUAAAUCUAGAUAUAACCAUUUUUAAGAUAAGUAUUUUCGGACGUAGAGAGUAGGUGUGUAGGAGGUCGAGUGACUCCGUUACUUGUUCAGUCGAUUUUAGGCCCAUCCUUGCUGAGUGUACGAUGCAGCCUCCAUGCAUGCACAUGCAUGACUCCAGUCCGUAGCUUUUGGACGCACAUGCAUGGAUGAAAUGCAUCCCAAUUUUGGUGUGUGUGCAUGCAUUCUUUUCUUUUCUUUUUUGCUUUUGUUUUCUGCACCCUUUUCUUUUGUGUUUUAUUUUUUUUUAUUUACGUGCAUUUUCAGACGUUGUUUAUGUGUAAAUGUACACACACAAGUACUACAUGUACAAAUUACAUUAGAGUACGGAAACUUCACUCUUAUAAGUUUAUUCUACAUAUGGAUUUUUAUGUGCUAAUUGUCUAGAUAUAUUUAUUUUGUUUUUAUUAUUUUCUUCUUUAAGGGUAAUACCGAUGCUAAUUUUUUGUGUUAAUGUUUUGGUAAUUCAUUCUUUCAUAGAAAAUAUAUUUGUUUUGUUUUUACUUUAUUUUCUUCUUUAGGGUAAUAUCAAUGCUAAUUUUUGUGUGUUAAUGUUUUGCUAAUUCAUUCUUUCUUACAAAAUAUAUUUUUCUAUUAUCAUUUUUGUAUAUGUAUACACACAAGUAUUAUAUCAUAUGUGUGUACAUUAUACUAGAUUGCGGAAGUUGCAUUAUUAUAUGUGCAUUCACUGCAUAUUACAAAAAUCGCAAUUAUACUCAAAUUUGUUUGCAAGUUUUUUAAUUUCAUUUCUUCUUAAGAGUAAUACUAAUGUCACUAACUUAUUAUCUCUUAGAAAAAAUUAUUUGUUUUAUUAUGCUUUAGUUUUCAUUUCAUUUUCUUUUUGAAGAUUAAUACCAAUGCCACUAAUUCAUCCCUUGUUUAAAAACUUCUUUUUUAUGUAAAUUUUAUUAUUAUACAUUUAUUCUUACAUAUACUAAAAAUGUGCAAUUUACAUGUAAAUUGUGUGCAAAUUUCAUCAUUAUUUUUCAUUUUACUUUCUUUCUUCUUAAAGGGUAGUACUGAAAGAACAUGCGGUGCCCCCAUGUUUGGUUUUGGUAAUUAAUGACAAUCUCUAUGAACUAAUGGUUGCCUUGAGUUAUAUUUGAAGGAUUUGUCCAUAGGCAUUUCUUGAAGUCCAUGUGUUAGUUUCAAGGAGUUUAUGAGUUGACCAAGGUGCUAUUAAGGAAUUAUUCUAAGAUUGGUCAUGUGAGUGUUGAGCUUAUUGCAAGCAUGGCUUGAAGAAGAAGAAGAUUGUGUGAUCAUUCAUGUUUACCUUCAAGACAUCAUCCAAAUGAAGAGAGUUGGAAAGAUUCAAGGUUGAUCAAGACUAAGUCAAGAGUGAAUCAAGUUGAUCAACUCACAAAGCGUAGAAGAUGUACCGAGAGGGAUCAUGAGAAAAGCUUCUGGGCCCGUCCAAGAUGGGAUGGGAGAAAAAAAGCUAAAAAAAUCAAGUGAUCCCAUAGUAUGGUAAGCAUUGUCCAUUGCGCUUUGUGUACUAACCCAUGGUCUAUGUGAGAGUUCUAUGUGGGGUUAGGUACGUGUUCAUGGGCUUGCGUCAAGAGGAAGAUAUCACUCAACCCAUGGAGAGGAUGACAUCAAGUGGUGAUCGUCAUCAAGAUUGUCGUGUGCAAGUUCAAGUGGAGCAUCACGAAGAGAUCAAGUGCUUGAAGCUUGACAUCCAUUGUGGUGUCAAUGGACUUGUGAAGAUGUGCCGAAGAGUGGCUCACCCAUAGUGUGGAGUAUGGGGGAGCAAUCAUCUAGUCUUCAUCGAGCCAAUGCAAUCAAGAAAGGUGGUCCAACUUGAGGGAGACAAGAUCGUCAUCAUCUAGCUCAAGUGGACCAUGUGCAAGGCAAAGGUUUGCCCUUGAUAGGUUUUCUAUUUUACUGGUCUCAUAGUGGUAGUUGGGAGACCGGGUUAUAGGAUCGAUUGUCGUACUAUCAAGGGGGCUCUCGAUGAGUAGCUUGAUCGUAUCAUUCGUAGAGAGAUCAAACCAUUGCAUCCUUGCAUCAUCUUUCUUGGUUCUUGGUUGGUUAUCCUUGUAAGUCUCAGAGCUUAUGGUCAUCUUAAUGACAAGCUCGAGUUCUUCAAAAACCGUUUUCUUAUGCAUCUUCUUUUGUGUUUUCGGUGUUGAAGUUUUUACCGGUCUUAAUUGAGAAAGGGUUCUCACCAUUUUAUUUUGGGUAUUUUCUCUAUUGCUAUUUCUUGAUAUUUAUAUCAAGAUUGUGUUUGCUCUUGUCUUUAGCUUUCCAACAAACUUGAUUUCGUCGAAUUCGGAGCUCGUAUGCGAAAUGUGGCUGUUUUGAUCUUACCUGUUUUACAUAGAGAGGUUGUACCGCCACUUAGAGAGGUUGUACCGGUUGACCAGUACAACCGGUGUUUGGAGCGUUUGUACCGCUCCAGAAUUGGUCUGAAGGUUGUACCGGCCAUGUACCGCUCUAGAGCCGGACUAGUUUCUGUUUGGAGCGGUUCUUGGGCGGUUGUUGACCGGUUGUACCGGUUAGUUUUGUUUAACCGGUACUACCGGUUCCCCGGGCUGUUGUACCGCUUAGGCCUUUUUCCUACAGGUUGGUUUUUCCUCUACUUUGACCGGUUGUACCGGUUCGUGCACCGGUUGUACCGGUCUUUCAGUUUUCUGCACAUAACGGGCAGAUUCGUGGGGACCUAUAAAAGGGGGUCUUCUUCCCCAUUGAACCUUAUCCUUUGAGCUCGUGUUCUUCCCCCAUUGUUGACCUUCUUCGAGCUUGCUAUCUCUCAAUCCCUCCAUGGAUUCUUGCUAGUUUUGGGGGGAAAAGAGAGAGGAGAUCUAGAUCCACAUUUCCAUCAAUCGCUUUCUCCUCUGUGUGAGGGGAACCCCUUGGAUCUAGAUUUUGGAGUUCUUGGUGUUCUCCUUAUUGUUCUUCCUCUCAUUUUCCUCCCUAGCAUUAGUUGCUUUGGUGGGAUUUGGGAGAGAAGGACUUGGGCACUCUGUGUGCCCUUGCCAUUGCAUUUGGUGCAUAGGUUUGAGUUCUCCACGGUGAUACGUGGAAGUUACAAGUUGAGAAGCUUAUUACUCUUGGGUGCUUGGUACCCUUGAGCUUGUUCCUCUUGGGUGCUUGGGCGCCCUAGACGGUUGGUGGUUUUCGGAGCUCAAUCAUUGUGGUGUAAAGCUCCGGGCAAGCGUCGGGGUCUCCAAUUAGGUUGCGGAGAUCGCCCCAAGCAAUUUGAAGGGUUUCGGUGACCGCCCCCAAGUGUUGCCAAAGUGUACGGGUUCGGUGACCGCCCCGAAGGGUUGCCAUUUGUACGGGUUAGGUGACCGCCCUCAAGGGUCCCUUCGUGGAAUCAUGGCAUCUUGCAUUAUGCUAGGACGUGGGGAGAUUACGGUGGCCCUAGUGGCUUCUUGGGGAGCAUUGUGCCUUCACACCGCUCCAAACGGAGAUUAGCAUCCGCAACGGUGUGAACUUCGGGAUACAUCGUCGUCUCUCUUUCUUUCAAUUGGUAUCAGAGCCUCGUCUCUCUUUGUUAGGCUUAUCCGCCUAGAGAGUAAAGAUGUCGACUAGGGGAUUAGGAUUCUCUGACACUCUUAGUUUCGAUGGCACAAAUUUUGAUGUUUGGGUAAUUCGCAUGCUUAAUCUCUUUAGGGUCAUGGACCCAAAUUUAGAGCGAAAUGUAGAUAUGGGUUCUUCUCCUCCAAAGGAUCCCCAAAUAUUAUCUUUAGAGGAUGAGAAAAACUCUUAUCUCAAUGCUCAAGCUUCUAAUGUGCUUUUUCGAUGCUUUGAGCUAUGUAGUUAUUGCUACCUCUUGAGCACUGCGUUGGUUUUCCCUUGAAGAGGAAAGGGUGAUGCAGCAAAGUAGCGUAAGUAUUUUCCUCAGUUUUUGAGAACCAAGGUAUCAAUCCAGUAGGAGACUACAUGCAAGUCGCCUCGUACCUACACAAACAAAUAAGAACCUUGCAACCAACGCGAUAAAGGGGUUGUCAAUCCCUUCACGGCCACUUGCAAAAGUGAGAUCUGAUAGAGAUAAUAAGAUAAAUAUUUUUGGUAUUUUUUAUGAUAUAGAUUGAAAGUAAAGAUUACAAAGUAAAAUAGAUUGGAAACUUAUAUGAUGGAAAAUAGACCCGGGGGCCAUAGGUUUCACUAGUGGCUUCUCUCAAGAUAGCAUAAGUAUUACGGUGGGUGAACAAAUUACUGUCGAGCAAUUGAUAGAAAAGUGCAUAAUUAUGAGAAUAUCUAGGCAUGAUCAUGUAUAUAGGAAUCACGUCCGCGACAAGUAGACCGAAACGAUUCUGCAUCUACUACUAUUACUCCACACAUCGACCACUAUCCAACAUGCAUCUAGAGUAUUAAGUUCAUAAGAACAGAGUAACGCAUUAGGCAAGACGACAUGAUGUAGAGGGAUAAACUCAAGCAAUAUGAUAUAAACCCCAUCUUUCUAUCCUCGAUGGCAACAAUACAAUGCGUGCCUUGCUGCCCCUGCUGUCACUGGGAAAGGACACCGCAAGAUUGAACCCAAAGCUAAGCACUUCUCCCGUUGCAAGAAAGAUCAAUCUAGUAGGCCAAACCAAACUGAUAAUUCAAAGAGACUUGCAAAGAUAAAAAUCAUACAUAAAAGAAUUCAGAGGAGAUUCAAAUAUUGUUCAUAGACAAUCUUGAUUAUAAACCCACAAUUCAUCGGAUCUCGACAAACACACCGCAAAAAGAAUUACAUCGAAUAGAUCUCCAAGAAGAUUGUCGGGGGGAUGGACCCCGGGCAGGCAACGGAACCCGGAUCCUCUUCAAAAACAACGGGGCUGGCACCGCCCCUCAAUACCGGCGCGCGCUUGGCCGGGUCGCUCGACCCGGCCAAACCCCGCAAGCCGGCCAGGCUAGCCGACCCGGCAAGACACGUCGACUCGGCCCCAACAACUGGCGCAAGACAGCCGAACCCUGCACGGCCAAAAACCUCCUCACCGAGCCAGCGCCACCACUGGCGUGCUGCGCAAUCCAGCCGCGGGUCAACUCCCGUCCCAUCCAGGCCGUAUGAUGGGGACGAGACUUCAAUCAAUGAUGCCCGAGGCAACAGUGCCCCGCCCAUGCCUCUGGUCAGCAGGAACGCGGCAACAGUGCCCACCUACCCGCUGACCAGGGCAGGCGUGGCAACAGUGCCCCCACCCUCACCGCUGACGACAACAAGCGGCAAUCUGACGGAGAGCACUGUACGCGACUCAACUCGGCCACGCCCUGACGACCGACAAGACGGCACACAGUCCCCCUAGGCCUGCGGGGCCCGCACCUAGGGGAACCCGGCGAACCACAAGCUCUCAGCGGGGCCCAGCCCGGGACCCCGGACACCGACAACACGGACCCACCGACUUAUAACAUUACCAUUGUACCCCCGGGGGGUUGGACUAUAAAACCCCCCGGGAGCCCCCGAUCAUGCAGGAGACGAAAGCAGGAGGACUAGCCACAAAACAGCGACACCGGAGAGAAGGAGCAGCCCAAGCCUUGGCCAGCUUCCUUCCUCCUCCACACAGCUCUAGGAGCAACAUUGUACUAUCGAUCAUCCAACUACAUUAGGCAGGACUAGGGGUAUUAUCUCUCCGGAGAGCCCCAAACCUGGGUAUGUCCGGCGCCCCGCGCCCGCUCAUGCCAACCUCGCCUCUGGAGCCCACCAGCGCCCUCGAACCUCCUCCUCUCUUUAGCCAUCCCUUGGCAUCUGCCGUGCGCCCACCACGAUAGUUGGCACCCACCGUGGGGCAGCUCGAGGAGCUGGCCGGGAGCAUGCUUCGGACGGGGCCCUUCUCCUACACCGACGAAUCCAUCGCGCUGGCGGACGACGUCGUCGGCGCGCUUGCCGCCUCCUUCACCGCGCUGCGCAUCUCCGAUGCGUUCGCGGCCGACGAGUACCCCAGCGAGGUGCUCAGCUAGUCCGACUCUCCCCUCUCCCUCGGCGGCGGCGUUUCCGCCGGGGCAAUGGACGUCCUUGUGGAGGUCUUCGUCACCGGCGACGGUGCCUCCUCCUCGUCGAGCAAGACGAGGAAGGCUCCCGAAGCCAGGGCCGCAACGGAUCGGAUUGAGCCGUCCGAUCCAUUGCGCGCCGCGAUGCAGAGCCUCCGCACCCCCAUCAGCACCGACGUCGACGCCACCAACGUCGCUGAGGCCCGAGCCCAGCUCGAGGAAUGACGCAAGAAGAUGCUGGACCUAUCUGAGACGCUCGCCGCCACUCAGCGUUGCCUGGACGCCGCUCAGCUGGAGUGCGAUGCCGCCUACGGAUUCACGCCCGCCACGGCCGAGCCAAGCCGGGUCGCCGAUGUGCGUGCCCGGGGAGGAGCGAUCGGCCGGGCCCUCGGCGCCGUCCCAACCGUCUACGAGACUCCAGCAAAGAACAUGCGCGCUGCCUAGGCAGCCGCAGUCGGCCUGGACCAGCUCGCGGGUGAGGAGCUGAAAGAGCGCAUCGGGCGGAUGCGUGAACUCCUCCACGCCGCCAACACCCAACAGGAUCGCCUCAACCAGCUCGCCAAGCCGACGGGAUCCGGCUCCGCCCGCCUUGGCGGACCCGGCGAACUUCUGCACACCGCUUCCUCGCCACCCGGCGAGGCGCACUCCGGCCAAGCCCGGACUCGACGCGUUCCGGCCGCUACAGCCGCCGGCGGAUUGGGCGACGAGCCCGUCCUAGAGACCCAGCGUGGACCCGGCCAGCAUGGCUGGCGUCCGGCUCCAACCGACCCGGCCCCCCGUGGCCUGGCCGCAAGUCGACUCGGCCCGCGCGCCAUCAACGACACUGACGCUCGCCACCGCCUCGAUCGGCUCGCUCGCUCCUUGGAGGUGGAGGAGAGCGGUGCUAUCGGGCCAGUGUGCUUCAGCCCGCGCAUCCGGGAGGAGCCCUUCCCCAAAGGAUUCAUGCUGCCCCGCGACACCCCCAAGUAGAGCGGGACAGUGAAUCCAGAAGACAGGCUCGCCGACUACACCACGGCCAUUGGCAUCACCGGUGCCAAUCGUCGUCUCGUCGUGCGCUACGCACCGCUCAUGCUCCAAGGGUGGGCCCGCAUGUGGUUGAACAGCCUGCCGAUGGGUAGCAUCAACACGUGGGUGGAUUUUGAGGAAGCCUUCGUCCGGAACUUCACGGGGACCUACAAGCGACCCGGCCGCCCUAGCCAGCUCGCCAUGUGCGCGUGCAAGGGCCUACGGAGACCGGUCGCGAGUACCUCGCACGCUGGACCGAGCUCCGAAACAGCUGCGAGGGCGUCCAUGAAGUCCAGGCGAUCCAGUACUUCGUCAGCGGGUGCCUAGACGGCACCCUCCUCAAGCACAAGCUCCUACGCUCUGAGCCGGCCACCAUGGCCGCGCUCAUGGUGACGGCGGACAAGUACGCCAACGCUGACUCCGCCAUGAAGAUCCAGGUGGCGCUGGAUGAAGCCGGCAAGGCGAAGCCGGAUCCCCCUCCGAAGCCGGCCGACGAAAGCAGCCGGCAGCAGCAUCACCAAAACAACAAGCGCAAGGCCGACCAGCCGGCACCGCGUCACGACAACCGGCUCGUCGCGGCCACCGAGCCCGCGGAGGACCCGGCGGCGAAGCGCCGGCAAACCGACAAGACGGCAUGGAAACCCGCCAUGAGCUUCGAGCAGAUGCUCGACGCCUCCUGCAAGCACCACAGUGGCGCAAGACCCUCCAUGCACACGCUUCGGCAGUGCGCCAUCACCAAGCGCAUCAUGAGGGGCGACGUCCCGCCCCCUCCGGCCCCGGCUCCAAGCGCGGGACAGCCGCCUCCGACUCCACCGCCGCCUCCAGCUGGCGGCGCGAUGCGCGACGACGCCUACCCGGACCUGAGCGCGGCCUAUGUCGUUUUCACCAGCCUCGGCGAUGACAAGCGCAGCGAUCGCCUCCUUCGGAAGAAGGUGAACACCGUUGUCCCGGCCAAGCCGGAGUUCAUGCAUUGGUCGGAUCGCCCGAUCACCUGGACCCGGGAGGAUCGCCCGGCAGUCAUGCAGAGCCCGGGUGGUUACGCCCUCGUCCUCAACCCCACCAUCGUCGCGCGGCGUACAUGCAAGUUCUCCCGAGUCCUCAUUGACGGCGGCAGCAGCAUCAACAUCCUCUACCGUGACACGAUGACUAAGCUCGGCCUCAAGGCCGAGGACCUGGAGCCAACCCGAACGAUCUUCCACGGCAUCGUACCCGGCCUCUCCUGCUCCCCAUUGGCCGGGUCCGGCUAGAUGUCCUGUUCGGUGACAGCUGCCACUUCCAGCGCGAACCGAUCUGGUUCGAGGUGGUGGACCUGUCCAGCGCGUAUCACGCGCUGCUGGGCCGGCCUGCGCUCGCCAAGUUCAUGGCGGUUCCCCACUACGCAUACCUGAAGAUGAAGAUGCCGGGUCCCAAGGGCCUCAUCACCGUCACCGGCGAUUACCGCAAGUCCCUGGAGUGCGCCCGAGACGGCGCCAAGUUGGCCGAGUCGCUGGUCAUUGCCGAGGAGCGGUGCCAGCUCGACCGGAUCGUCGCCCUGGCAGGCGAGGCCUCCACCGCGUCAAUCCCGACCCCGGACCCGGCCGACGAGGCCACCUUCAAGCCCUCCAAGGAGACCAAGAAAGUGAAGCUCAACCCAGAAGACCCCAGCUGCAGCAAGUACGUUGUCGUAGGCGCCCGCCUCGACAGCAAAUAGGAAGGCGAGCUCGUCGACUUCCUCUGUGAGAAUCGGGAUAUCUUCGCAUGGACCCCCAAGGACAUGACGGGUAUCCCGAGGAAGUACGCCGAGCACAAACUUCAUGUCCGCAAGGACGCCAAGCCUGUCCGUCGACCCCUACGACGAUUUUCCGAAGAGAAGAACCAUUGGUGAAGAGGUCGCCAAGCUUUUGGCGGCCGGCUUCAUAAUGGAAGUGUUUCACCCCGAGUGGCUGGCUAAUCCAGUCCUCGUCCUGAAGAAGAACAAGACCUGGUGCAUGUGUAUCGACUACACCAGUCUCAAUAAGGCCUGUCCCAAGGAUCUGUUCGUCCUCUCGCGGAUUGACCAAGUCAUCGACUCGACGGCCGGGUCUGAGCUCCUGUCCUUCCUGGACGCUUGCUCCGGCUACCACCAGAUCAAGAUGGACCCGACCGACGCCCUGAAGACGUCCUUCAUCACGCCCUUUGGGGCGUAUUGCUACAUCACCAUGUCGUUCGGCUUGAAGAGCGCCGGCGCCACCUUCCAGCGCUGCAUGCAGAAAUGCCUGCUGCCGCAACUCGGCCGCAAUAUCCACGUAUAUGUGGACGACAUCGUGGUGAAGACCAAGCAGCACCUCACGCUCCUCGACGAUUUGAAAGAAACCUUCGCCAACCUCCGCGAAUACAAGGCCAAGCUUAACCCGGAAAAAUGCGUCUUCGGUGUCCCGGCCGGAAAGCUACUCGGCUUCCUCGUCUCGGAGCGCGGCAUUGAGGCGAACCUGGAGAAGAUCAAGGCCAUCGAGCGCAUGCGCAAGCCGGCUCGGCUGUGCGAUGUCCAGAAGUUCACCGGAUGCUUGGCCUCGGUCAGCCGGUUUCUAAGCCGGCUGGGCGAGAGGGCGCUACCCCUGUACCAGCUGAUGAAGAAGACGAGCCCGUUCGAAUGGAACGACAAGGCAGACGAGGCCUUCCAACACCUCAAGCGCAUGCUCUCGACCGCACCAGUCCUGGCCGCACCGACCGACAAGGAGCCGCUGUUGCUCUACAUAGCCGCGACCUCACGGGCGGUCAGCAAGGUGCUGGUGGUCGAGCGACCAGAGAAGGGCAAGAUCCAAGCCGUCCAGCGCCCAGUCUACUACCUGAGCGAGGUGCUCUCCAUCUCCAAGCAGAACUGCCCGCACUACCAGAAGAUGUGUUACGGCGUGUACUUCACCGCCAAGAAGCUGAAGCAGUAUUUCCAAGAGCACGUCGUCACCGUGGUCAGCACGGCGCCUAUCGGAGAAAUCAUCGGGUGCCGGGAUGCCUCUGGCCGGGUUGCCAAAUGGGCGAUCCAGCUGGCCGGCCACACCAUCCUCUACGAGCCCCGCACGGCGAUCAAGUCUCAAGCCCUAGCCGACUUCCUCGUCGACUGGACCGAAACCCAGUACUUGCCGCCGCCUCCCGACUUGACGCAUUGGCGCAUGCACUUCGAUGGGUCCAAGAUGCGACUCGGCUUGGGGGCCGCCAUCGUACUGUCGUCCCCGAAGGGCGACCGGCUCCGCUACGCACUCCAGAUCCACUUCGCCGCCUCCAACAACAUCGCCGAGUACGAAGCCCUUAUGCACGGACUCCGGCUUGCCAAGGAACUCGGCAUCCGGCGCAUCCUGUGCUACGGUGACUUAGACCUAGUGGUGCAGCAAUGCUCCGGCGAAUGGGACGCCCGCGACUCCAACAUGGCAAGCUACCGCUUCCUCGUCCAGAAGCUGUCCGGAUCCUUCGAGGGCUGCGAGUUCCUCCACGUCCCGCGCGCGGAGAACUAAGCAGCCGACACGCUCGCCAAGAUCGCCUCGUCAUGACAAGCCAUCCCGUCCGACGUCUCCCUCGAGCACCUGCGCAAGCCGUCCAUCUAGCCAUCGUCGGACUCCGAGUCCAUCCACAUUCCAGACGACCCGGCCGCACCUCAACCCGGCCCGGGACUGCUGAACCCGGCCCGGGGGCUGCUCAGCUCGACCCGGCCACCAUCGUCCUGGACCCGGCCGUCGCCAUCCCCGACCCAGGGGCUGCUCAACCCGGCUCGGGGGCUGCCGACUCGGAACCCACCCCGGUGGCCGUUUUCGCCGUGGUUGCGGCUCCAUCUUGGGCCCUCCCAAUAUCAGAAUUUUUGAAGAACGGGGUUCUCCCCAUGGACGAGACCGAAGCUCGGCAAGUGCAGGGCCUGGCGUCCGCCUACAACAUCAUCAACAAUGAGCUCGUCAAGCGCAGCUCCACCGGCGUGUUCCAGCGCUGCGUCGAGCAGAAGCGGGGCAUCGACAUCCUCCUCGACAUACAUCAAGGCGAGUGUGGGCACCACGCCGCAUCACGAUCCCUGGUGGCGAAGGCGUUCCGCCACGGCUUCUACUGGCCCACGGCCCUCCAAGAUGCCGAGUCACUCGUCCUCAGGUGUGAGGGAUGCCAACGCUUCAGCAAACGCAGCCACCAUCCGGCGUCAGCACUCCGCACCAUACCGAUCGCCUGGCCCUUCGCGGUCUGGGGACUCGACAUGGUGGGACCCUUCAAAACCGCCCGAGGCGGCAUGACGCACUUGCUGGUGGCAGUGGACAAAUUCACUAAGUGGAUCGAGGCAAGACCAAUCAAGAAACUAGACGGGCCAACAGCCGUCCGGUUCAUCAAGGACAUAGCGGUGCGCUACGGCAUGCCGAACAGCAUCAUCACCGACAACGGCACCAACUUCGCCAAGGGCGCGCUCGAGCAAUACUGCUCCGUCUCCGGCAUCUGCCUCGACCUGGCCUACGUUGCGCACCCGCAGUCCAACGGGCAGGUCAAGCGGGCCAAUGGACUCAUCCUGUCCGGCGUCAAGCCGCGACUCGUCGAGCCACUCAUCCGCUCACCCGACAGCUAGCUUGACGAGUUGCCAACCGUUCUCUGGAGUCUACGCACCACGCCAAAUCGGUCAACCGGGUUCACCCUGUUCUUCCUCGUCUACGGUGCGGAAGCCGUCAUCCUGACCAACGUCGAGUUCGAUUCACCGUGCGUCGCGAUGUACACCGAAGCCGAAGCCAGAGAAGCCCGCGAAGAUGGCGUCGACCUGCUCGAAGAAGCACGCCUCCUGGCGCUCAGCCGCUCGGCCAUCUACCAGCAAGGCCUAAGGCACUACCACAGCAAGAAGAUCAAGCCCCUCGCGUACCGCGAGGGCGACCUCGUCCUCCGGCUCGUCCAAGAGCAGGCAAGCCAGCACAAGCUGCCCCCUCCAUGGGAGGGCCCAUUCAUCGUGAGCAGGGCCUUGCGUGACCGCAACGCCUACUACCUCAUCGACGCACGCAAGUCAAGGAAGCGCAAGAAGGACACCGCCGGUGAAGAAACGACCCAGCCGUGGAACGCGGAACUCCUCUGCCCGUUUUACAGUUAGCCGCACGAGCGUAUGUAUCAUCGCCUUUUGUAAACGCAUGAAACUAUGGGGUCCGCGAACGAGACUCGGGGGCUGCCUUUUGUCGACCAAUUUAUUGUGUCCCUAUUUUCUUGCAUCACUAUGCCACUGAACCCGGCCACCGGUCCGACUCGCUCGACCCGGGGGCUCGGGGGCUGGCCGGUUCGGUCGCUACCCCACCGCCUUACUUGGUGAUUCCUGAUAAAGUUAGGAUGCCGCGGUCCCCCACUUCGCCCUAAAGCCACAGAUCCAGCUUUGGCUGUCGGCUGGCAAGGACAACGGGCCAAAGCUCCUUUACGCUUCAUACACUAAGCCAAAGGUUGCCGGGUCGAUCAACCCGGCCCGCCAUUCAUCAAAUGAAUAGCCACACGACCGGCUGCUCGCCACCCGGCUUCGCCGGAUUGCCGCCAGCCGGCCCAGUGGGUGUUUCGCUCGCGCUCAACGUUUCGAGGGACCCAAGUCCUGCGCGCUCCUCUCAAAGAACAGAACUCCUUGUCACGGACCGGAGCCUCAGCUGUCUGACUCGUGGGGGGGGGGAGGUUUGAGAAAGGAAAAGCGCAUGAAAUCGGUCCAAAAAACGGAAGGCAAAAAAGCAAAAGCACCCACGACAUCUACACAAGUACUUAAGAAAAGGCCCACGGCCCGAGUUCAUUACACCCUAAAACCCCCAGUGGGUGGGUGGACCUGCUAUUUAACAAAUUUUACAGCAAAAUGUCUCAGGCAUCUCCAGCGCCGCGUCGCGACAUCGAUGGCUCUCCCCUCGCGGCCUCCGGAUCCGGCGAGGUGCCGGUGCCCUCCUCAGCAUCCGCGUCGCGGUAGACGCCCGUCUCCUCCGAGCUCCCCUCCGGAUCGUGGAAGAGCAAGCCGUAGUCGUCACCGUCCAUGGCCCCGCCGUCUUCCAUCCGCUCCGGAUGGAACUCGUCGUGGAAGGCGAACUCGGCGAUGUAGCUGGCCCGGGAGGCGAUCCGGCCGGCUUGCUCCUGCAAGAGCUGCUCCGAACUGGCCCGCUGGCCCAUCAACGCGUCCUGCUGCAGGUCCGGAUGCCAGGACAGUGCGAACCAGAGCGCCAUCUCAGCACCGGCACGAGCGGCGGAGACGUGCCACUCGCCAAGCCGGUCCGGCCCCAUCUCCAAUCAACGCGCCAGGCGCGAGAAGCUGCUCGGUUCGACGGAGUCCGGCCAUAGGGGCGCCGUCAUUGCGGUGCUGGCCUGGGACAGCCGCCCCAACUGCGUUCCCAGGGCUUGCAGGCGGGCCUCAGCGGUGGCGAUGAUCUCUGGGAAGGUCCAGGCCACCCGCGGAUCCGUCCCGGACCCAACGACGCCGGCCGGCUCGCGCUGAUAGCGGACGGCUUCCUCCGCCAGCCGCUGCGUCUCUGGGAAGGCCCCUGCCGCAAAGGAAGAAGCGAGUUAGAAGAAGAACAACAAGGAAGAAAGGCCGAAUCCCGACCCGGCAAACGACAAGAAAAAGCACUUACUAGAGAAGGACUCUUCCAGGUGCUGCGCCUCAAGCAACGUACCACGCCGCUCCCGCUCGAUGGCGCGGUCGCGCUCCUCGAGCGCCUUCUCCAGAUCGGACGCCUUGGCAAGGGCCGCCUUCAGCUCGGCAUCCUUGUCGUCGGCCGCCUUCUCGGCCGCCUCGCGGCGACGGGCCUCGUCCUGACGGGCCCCCCCAGCCGUGGUGACCUGCCCCCGCAGGCGAUCCACCUCGGCCUGGAGCCGGCCCUUGUCGUCGGCCAGCUGGCCGCGCUGCUGGUCCGCCUCCACCAGGGCCUGCUGCGCCUCUGCCACCUUGGCGGCUUCUGCCUUAAGGAGCUCCACCUCGGCCUCGAGGCAGCUCUUGUGACCCGCCAGCUGCUCGUGCAGCUGGUUGGCCUCAUCGAGAGACCGCCGAGCCGCGGCCGCCUCCGCCCUUGCCUGCGCCGCCUCGACGCCAAGACGGCCGGUGUCGGCAAUGAGCUGGUCGUACUGAUGACCGGCCCAGAGCAGAUGAGUCUGCCAGGACAGCACCUGGCUGCAAAAAAGAAGGACUCAGCAGAAGAAAAAAGCAGACUUAAGAUUUGGCCCAACUGUUACACAGUUGGCCCGAAUCUCGGGGGCUACACCCAGUGGGUGCGCUAGCACGGCCCCACUAGAAAAGAGCACAAGGAUACCUGCGGCGACGCGGAGCUCGUCCUCCUUGGCGGCAAGCCGCUCCACGAGCUCCCCGUGCUUGCCCAGGAGAUGAUUGUUGGCGACGACCCGGAAGGCGUCGAGAUGCUGACGAGAGCAGAAGUCAGAACAAGGCCAACACUCUAAAGAUUCGACCCAACUACUACGUAGUUAGCCCGAACCUCGGGGGCUACACCCAGUGGGUGCGCUGGCGCGCCCCCACAAAGAAGAAAAUUGCAAGAAGACUUACCAGAACUGCGCGCUCCAGGUCGCGCGACCGCUCCACCUCGGCCUGGGCGAAGACCUCGAGCCGUUCCGCCCGGUCUCGCAGGCAGUGACUGACGGCGUCCAGCGCCACCUCCUCCUGGGUCUAAGGCCUGAAGACAACGGCGCCCCCGCUCCGCGCCGGCUGCGGCACGGCAGCUCGGCGCUCUCCCUGCCGGGGCACCAAGGCGUGCUCCCCGCUGGCCGCUCGCGACGCGGCCAGCACCUCCUCCGGGACACCCUCCGUCGCCGUCUCUGACCCGGACGCCGGGACGCCCUGCGUUGCCGUCUCCGGCCCAGCUGCCGGGGUGACCUCCGGCACCGCCGCCCGCGGUGCCUCCCCAAAACCGGCGGCGCCUCUUCCAAGACGCCGCCGCCUCCACCACCAUCAGUCCCCGCUCCCUCGGCCACGUUGGCCCGUUGAGGGGUGUCAUCCUCCACCUCCACGACCCCCCGGUCGGGGAUCACCACCUCAGCCCGGCCUCCACGGUCGCGCUCCCUCACCGACGACGGCUCAAAGACCGUCGCCGCCACCACCGUGCCCUCUGGCAUCUCGCGCCAGACCGGCUCCGCACCGGGUCCCGCCCAUGCCGCUGCCGCAUCGGUCCAAGCCCGGACCGACGCCGCCUCCAGCUCCGCCUCGGCCCGGUUCCUGUCCCGCCAGGCCAAGGCUUCGGCGUCGUUCGGAUCCAGGCCGAGGUCCGAGUCGGCCCAUCCCUCCACCUUGGCCUGGUCGGCAAGGUUGGACCGGCUCCUGCGGAACACGGCCCCUUCGGCGGUCGUGGCUUCCGCCGCCACCCUCGCCAGCGCGAUUGGCGACCUGGAGAAGAAGACAGAAUGAGCAGAAAAGAAAUAGGACUAGCUCAAGGAAAAAUCUGAGCGCAACCGAGAAAUGAAGCUUACCCUGCCAAGACCGGGACUGAUGUUGGCCUCCCGUGCCCGCCGCCGUCAUUCCUCUUGGCCGGCCUCCCGGCCCCGGCCGGGUCCGCCGUGCGCUUCGGGGCCCGGGGUCGCGGCGCGACGCUGUCUUUCCCAUGCGGGCGGCUCGGCGCCGCCCCAUGCGAGGACCCAGCUCCGCCCGCGUCGCCGCCUCCCCUCCCAACGCCACUACACCGACAACUGGCGUCAGCACCGGCCGUUCUGUGCCGCGGUCAGCAAUUCAAGACACAUGAAGAAAAACGCGAGACUUACCCGCGCGACGUCCAGCGCCGCCGUCAGACUCGGCCUCCUCCUCCCCGCCACGAGCCACGGGCUCCUCUGGCGCCUCCGGCUCCACCUGCGACGAAGCCCGGGCGUAAGGAUGCCGAAUCACGUUCAGAAGAACCCCCCGCGCCGCGUCAGGAUGGAUGAGAAGGUGCACGGCAGCAAAGUGAGAAGACCAGACACUCACCUGCGGCGCCAGGUUCGACUGGCUGUACGGCGCCUUGCCGAACCGCCAGUCCUCCACAAGGUUGGCCUUGGAGAUGUCGUUCACGCCGCGCGCGACCUGCUCCGCGGACAGCCACGUCGACCCCAUGCGGUUGGGGUCGUGAAGGCCAACCAUUUCGCCGAUGAGGCAGGAGCGCCCCUGAAGCGGAAGGACCCGGCGCAUGAUGAACGCGGCGAGGAGGUCGGUGCCGGUGAGCCCCUCCUGCGUCCUCAUCACCGUCACCCGCUCGCAGAGAUUAACGAUCUCCUGCGACGGGCGCUUGGGCGAGUAGCCCCAGUUCGUCUUCGCCCGCAGCGGUGCAAGGCUGGAAGAUUGAUGCGAUCCGCUCCAAGGUUGCGGACGUAGAAGAAGGAGUUGUGCCACUUCUUGGCAGAGUCCUCCAGCGGAAUCUUGGGGAAAUCCGCCCCCGACCGCUUCGAGAUGACGGCGGCGCCGCAAUCGGCGAACUCCCCGGCCGACGGGCCCUGCUGCUUUAAGGAGAAGAAGCGCGCCCAGAGGUCGAUCGUAGGCUCGACCCCCAGGUACCCCUCGCAGAGGGUGACGAAGCCGGAGAGUUGGACGAUGGCGCCGGCGCCAAGAUGAUGUGGCUGGAGCCGGAAGAACUCCAGGAAAGCGCGGAAGAAGGUGCUCGCCAGCAGCCCGAACCCGCGCUCGAAGUGCGUGAGGAAGACCACGCGCUCUUGCCCCUCGGGCCGAGGCCUGUGCUCACCGCGCGGCAGGCAGACGCCGACGUCCGUCUCCCACGGCAGGCGCUGCGUCGCCCGGAGUUGGGUGAUGUCCUCGGAGGUGAUGUUCGAGCCCAUCCAGGAGCCCGAUGGCAGCGACAUGAUGGAAGGAAAAAGAAGGAAGAUGGACGGCGAAGGAGUUCUGGUCGGGGCGGCGGGCGCCACAGUGCGUCAGUUGCAAAGAGCGGAGCAAGAGCAAAGGGACAGGAGGGCGCGAGCGAGAAUAAUGUCCGCCGCCCCCUGCCCCCCAAUUUAUAACCCUCGGUUUGAACGUGGGGAAGUGGGGAAGUGGGAUCGUCUGCAUGCGCCCGUUCCACUACCCCAUAAUAAGUGCGCACGUACACGCGCAGUAACUGCCCGGGGAAGAGCAACCGGCCCCCGGACGCCGCAAUAAAUCCGCGCGCUUGGGUCGAGGGCGCGCGGCGGCGGGCCCCAGCCCGUCGCCCGGUACCGUCACGCGCGUGGCCUGUCAAGCCCCUCUGGCUUCCGAGCACCACGUGGCGCCCGCGCAGAGCCCGAGGGAUUGCCCCAAGAUUCGGCGGACUUCUCGGUCCCCGCCACGACCGAUACGGCGCGAUCCGGUUUCCGAGAAAACCGGCACACAAUGGGUGUUGCCGGACCCGGCGCCGGCAGAAUCCACCUUGCUUAAGGGGGAAACUGCGAAGGCCCACUCAUCCGAAGACGGCGGACCUUCACAGCUUCGGGGACUACUGUCGGGGGGAUGGACCCCGGGCAGGCAACGGAACCCGGAUCCUCUUCAAAAACAACGGGGCUGGCACCGCCCCUCAAUACCGGCGCGCGCUUGGCCGGGUCGGUCGACCCGGCCAAACCCCGCAAGCCGGUCAGGCUAGCCGACCCGGCAAGACACGUCGACUCGGCCCCAACAACUGGCGCAAGAUAGCCGAACCCGGCACGGCCAAAAACCUCCUCACCAAGCCAGCGCCACCCCUGGCGUGCUGCGCAAUCCAGCCGCGGGUCAACUCCCGUCCCAUCCAGGCCGUAUGAUGGGGACGAGACUUCAAUCAACGAUGACCGAGGCAACAGUGCCCCUCCCAUGCCUCUGGUCAGCAGGAACGCGGCAAUAGUGCCCCUCACCUACCCGCUGACCAGGGCAGGCGUGGCAACAGUGCCCCCACCCUCCCCGCUGACGACAACAAGCGGCAAUCUGACGGAGAGCACUGUACGCGACUCGACUCGGCCACGCCCUGACGAUCGACAAGACGGCGCACAGUCCCCCUAGGCCUGCGGGGCCCGCACCUAGGGGAACCCGGCGAACCACAAGCCCUCAGCGGGGCCCAGCCCGGGACCCCGGACACCGACAACACGGACCCGCCGACUUAUAACAUUACCAUUGUACCCCCGGGGGGUUGGACUAUAAAACCCCCCGGGAGCCCCCGAUCAUGCAGGAGACGAAAGCAGGAGGACUAGCCACAAAACGGCGACACCGGAGAGAAGGAGCAGCCCAAGCCUUGGCCAGCUUCCUUCCUCAUCCACAUAGCUCCAGGAGCAACAUUGUACUAUCGAUCAUCCAACUACACUCGGCAGGACUAGGGGUAUUAUCUCUCCGGAGAGCCCCGAACCUGGGUAUGUCCGGCGCCCCGCGCGCGCUCAUGCCAACCUCACCUCUGGAGCCCAACAGCGCCCUCGAGCCUCCUCCUCUCUUUAGCCAUCCCUUGGCAUCUAUCGUGCGCCCACCACGACAAAGAUCGAGGAGAACUUUGUAUUGAGAUCCAAAGAGAGAGAAGAAGCCAUCUAGCUAAUAACUAUGGACCCGAAGGUCUGUGGUAAACUACUCACACAUCAUCGGAGAGGCUAUGGUAUUGAUGUAGAAGCCCUCCAUGAUCGAUUCCCCCUCCGGCGGAGCGCCGGAAAAGGCCCCAAGAUGGGAUCUCACGGGUACAGAAGGUUGAGACGGUGGAAAUAGGGUUUCGUGGUGCUCUCGGAUGUUUUCGGGGUAUAUGAGUAUAUAUAGGCGAAAGAAGUCGGUCAGGGGAGCCACGAGGGGCCCACGAGGGUGGGGGGCGCGCCUACCCCCUGGGCGCGCCUCCCAACCUCGUGGUCGCCUCGUUUCUUUCUUGACGUCCACUCCAAGUCCCUUGGAUUGCGUUUGUUCCAAAAAUCACUCUCCCGAAGGUUUCAUUCCGUUUGGAUUCUGUUUGAUAUUCCUUUUCUGAGAAACACUGAAAUAGGCAAAAAAACAACAAUUUGCACUGGCCUUUGGUUAGUAGGUUAGUCCCAAAAAUAAUAUAAAAGUGCAUAAUAAAGCCCAUUAAACAUCCAAAACAGAUAAUAUAAUAGCAUGGAACAAUAAAAAAUUAUAGAUACGUUGGAGACGUAUCAAGCAUCCCCAAGCUUAAUUCCUGCUCGUACUCGCAUAGGUAAAUGAUAAAAAUAGAAUUUCUGAUGUGGAAUGCUACCUAGCAUAAUUUUCUAUGUAAUUUUCUUUAUUGUGGCAUGAAUGUUCAGAUCUGAAAGAUUCAAGACAAAAGUUUUAUAUUGACAUAAAAAUAAUAAUACUUCAAGCAUACUAACUAAGCAAUUAUGUCUUCUCAAAAUAACAUGGCCAAAGAAAGUUCAUCCCUACAAAAUCAUAUAGUUUGGUCAUGCUCCAUUUUCAUCACACAAGAAUGCUCUCAUCAUGCACAACCCCGAUGACAAGCCAAGCAAAUGUUUCAUACUUUAGUAAUUUCAAACUUUUUUCAACUUUCACGCAAUACAUGAGCAUGAUCCAUGGACAUAGCACUAUGGGUGGAAUAGAAUAGAAUGAUAGGGGUUAUGUGGAGAAGACAAGAAAAGGAGACAAUCUCACAUUGACGCGACUAAUCAACGGGCUAGGGAGAUGCCCAUCAAUUGAUGUCAAUGCAAGGAGUAGGGAUUGCCAUGCAACGAAUGCACUAGAGCUAUAAAUGUAUGAAAGCUCAACAAAAGAAACUAAGUGGGUGUGCAUCCAACUUGCUUGCUCACGAAGACCUAGGGCAUUUGAGGAAGCCCAUUGUUGGAAUAUACAAGCCAAGUUCUAUAAUGAAAAAUUCCCACUAGUACAUGAAAGUGACAAAACAAGAGACUCUCUAUCAUAAAGAUCAUGGUGCUACUUUGAAGCACAAGUGUGGAAAAAAGGAUAGUAGCAUUGUCCCUUUUUAUUUCCCUUUUUUUGGGCCUUUCUUUUUUUGUCCUUUCUCUUUUUUUGGGACAAUGCUCUAUUAAUGAUGAGCAUCACACUUCUAUUUAUUUACAACUCGAUACUAGAACAAAAUAUGACUCUACAUGGAUGCCUCCGGCGGUGUACCGGAAUAGGCAAUGAAUCAAGAGUGACAUGUAUGAUGAAUUAUGCAUGGUGGCUUUGCCACAAAUACGAUGUCAACUACAUGAUCAUGCAAGGCAAUAUGACAAUGAUAAAGCGUGUCAUAACAAAUGAAACGGUGGAAAGUUGCAUGGUAAUAUAUCUCGGAGUGGCUAUGGAAAUGCCAUAAUAGGUAGGUAUGGUGGCUGUUUUGAGGAAGAUAUAAGGAGGCUUAUGUGUGAUAGAGCGUAUCGUAUCACGGGGUUUGGAUGCACCGGCGAAGUUUGCACCAACUCUCAAGGUGAGAAAGGGCAAUGCACGAUACCGAAGAGGCUAGCAAUGAUGGAAAGGUGAGAGUGCGUAUAAUCCAUGGACUCAACAUUAGUCAUAAAGAACUCACAUACUUAUUGCAAAAAUCUACAAGUCACCAAAAACCAAGCAUUACGCGCAUGCUCCUAGGGGGAUAGAUUGGUAGGAAAAGACCAUCGCUUGUCCCCGACCGCCACUCAUAAGGAUGGCAAUCAAAGAACACCUCAUGUUUCAAAUUUGUUACACAACGGUUACCAUACGUGCAUGCUACGGGACUUGCAAACUUCAACACAAGUAUUUCUCAAAUUCACAAAUACUCAACUAGCACGACUCUAAUAUUACCAUCUUCAUAUCUCAAAACAAUCAUCAAGUAUCAAACUUCUCAUAGUAUUCAAUGCACUUUUUAUGAAAGUUUUUAUUAUACCAAUCUUGGAUGCCUAUCUUAUUAGGACUAAUUUUAUAGCCAAAGCAAAUUACCAUGCUGUUCUAAAGGACUCUCAAAAUAAUAUAAGUGAAGCAUGAGAGAUCAAUAAUUUCUAUAAAAUAAAACCACCACCGUGCUCUAAAAGAUAUAAGUGAAGCACUAGAGCAAAAUUAUCUAGCUCAAAAGAUAUAAGUGAAGCACAUAGAGUAUUCUAAUAAAUUCCGAUUCAUGUGUGUCUCUCCCAAAAGGUGUGUACAGAAAGGAUGAUUGUGGUAAACUAAAAAGCAGAGACUCAAAUCAUACAAGACGGUCCAAGUAAAACACAUAUCAUGUGAUGAAUAAAAAUAUAGCCUCAAGUAAAGUUACCGAUGGACGAAGACGAAAGAGGGGAUGCCUUCCGGGGCAUCCCCAAGCUUAGGCUUUUGGUUGUCCUUGAAUUUUACCUUGGGGUGCCUUGGGAAUCCCCGAGCUUAGGCUCUUUCCACUCCUUAUUCCAUAAUCCAUCAAAUCUUUACCCAAAACUUGAAAACUUCACAACACAAAACUCAACAGAAUAUCUCAUGAGCUCCGUUAGCGAAAGAAAACAAACCACCACUUCAAGGUACUGUAAUUAACUCAUUCUUUAUUUAUAUUGGUGUUAAACCUACUGUAUUCCAACUUCUAUAUGGUUCAUACUGCCCGAUACUAGCCAUAGAUUCAUUAGAAGAAGCGAACAACACACGAAAAACAGAAUCUGUCAAAAACAGAAUAGUCUGUAGUAAUAUGUAUCAAACGUAUACUUAUGGAACUCCAAGAAUUCUGAAAUAAAUUGGUGGACGUGAGGAAUUUAUCUAUUAAUCAUCUGCAAAAUGAAUCAACCUAAAAGCACUCUCCAGAAAAAAAUGGCAGCUAAUCUCGUGAGCGCUAAAGUUUAUGUUUUUUACAGCAAGAUCAUAAAGACUUAACCCAAGUCUUCCAAAGGUUCUACUUGGCACAAACACUAAUUUAAAACAUAAAACCAUAUCUAAACAGAAGCUAGAUGAAUUAUUUAUUACUAAACAGAACUAAAAAGCAAGAAAAAUAAAUAAAAUUGGGUUGCCUCCCAACAAGCGCUAUCGUUUAACGCCCCUAGCUAGGCAUAAAAGCAAGAAUAGAUCUAGGUAUUAUUAUCUUUGGUUGGCAAUUCUUCAAUAGUACACUUAUAACCCUUAGGAGUUUCCUUCUUUUUAUUAAUGAUCAAACUCCUAGGCAAGAAAUAAAAAAAUUCAUUUGUAGCAAAAGGUUCCACAAUGAUAGCGAAAAAGUUGGGGUGAACACUUAUUGAUUUGAGAUCCGCAUUUUACUUACUAGAAGAUUCACCCUUAUUUUUAGGAACAUACAUUAAUUUGGCAACUUUAGUAGUAGGAGGAUUUGAAGUAUUUUUCACGGAUGAAAAGGCAGACCCUAAAUUGGUAAUGAUAUCCUCAAGUUUACCAAUUCUUGUGGAAUCUUGAUCUAUUUUUUCGUUAACUAUAGGUUCCUUUUCUUUAAAAAAAUUCAGAGUAACUCCUCCUUAGAUCCAUAUUGAGUAAUUUGGUUGUGGAUCUUUUUGUCCAAAUUUUCAAUCAACUCUAUAGUGGCAACUUUAUUUUCAAUAAUUUCAAGCCUUUGCAUCACAUGUUCCAAAGUUAAAAUAGUUCCAUUAACCAAAAGAGGUGGUGGGCCAAACAAAUCUAUCAUAGCAUUAUACGAAUCAAAAGUAUGGCUACCCAAGAAAUUCCCUCCGGUAAUGGUAUCAAGAAUAUAUUUGUUCCAAGGAGUGAUACCUACAUAAAAAUUGCGAAGAAGAACGGAAGUAGAUUGCUUCCUAGUAGAUCUAUUCUGAGCAUUGCAAAUUCUAUGCCAAGCAUCUUUUAGAUUUUCUCCCUCCCUUUGUUUAAAAUUAAGAACUUCAUGAUCGGGAGUACUAACAAUGAUAGAAGGACUAGCCAUGACAACACAGGGCGACACAAGAAGCAAGCGAAAAAGAGGCGAACGGAAAAAGAGGGCGAAUAAAGUGGCAAAGGUGAAGUGGGGGAGAGGAAAACGAGAGGCAAAUGGCAAAUAAUGUAAUGCGAGGGAUAAGAGUUUGUGAUGGGUACUUGGUAUGACUUGACUUGACUUGACUUGGCAUAGAUCUCCCCGGCAACAGCGCCAGAAAUCCUUCUUGCUACCUCUUGAGCACUGUGUUGGUUUUCCCUUGAAGAGGAAAGGGUGAUGCAGCAAAGUAGCGUAAGUAUUUCCCUCAGUUUUUGAGAACCCAGGUAUCAAUCCAGUAGGAGACUACACGCAAGUCGCCUCGUACCUACACAAACAAAUAAUAACCUUGCAACCAACGCGAUAAAGGGGUUGUCAAUCCCUUCACGGCCACUUGCAAAAGUGAGAUCUAAUAGAAAUAAUAAGAUCAAUAUUUUUGGUAUUUUUUAUGAUAUAGAUUGAAAGUAAAGAUUGCAAAGUAAAAUAGAUUGGAAACUUAUAUGAUGGAAAAUAGACCCUAGGGCCAUAGGUUUCACUAGUGGCUUCUCUCAAGAUAGCAUAAGUAUUACGGUGGGUGAACAAAUUACUGUCGAGCAAUUGAUAGAAAAGUGCAUAAUUAUGAGAAUAUCUAGGUAUUAACAUGUAUAUAGGCAUCACGUCCGUGACAAGUAGACCGAAACGAUUCUGCAUCUACUACUAUUACUCCACACAUCGACCGCUAUCUAGCAUGCAUCUAGAGUAUUAAGUUCAGAAGAACAGAGUAACACAUUAGGCAAGAUGACAUGAUGUAGAGGGAUAAACUCAAGCAAUAUGAUAUAAACCCCAUCUUUUUAUCCUCGAUGGCAACAAUACAAUGUGUGCCUUGCUGCCCCUGUUGUCACUGGGAAAGGACACCGCAAGAUUGAACCCAAAGCUAAGCACUUCUCCCGUUGGAAGAAUGAUCAAUCUAAUAGGCCAAACCAAACUGAUAAUUCAAAGAGACUUGCAAAGAUAAAAAAUCAUACAUAAAAGAAUUCAGAGGAGAUUCAAAUAUUGUUCAUAGAUAAUCUUGAUCAUAAACCCACAAUUCAUCGGAUCUCGACAAACACACCGCAAAAAGAAUUACAUCGAAUAGAUCUCCAAGAAGAUCGAGGAGAACUUUGUAUUGAGAUCCAAAGAGAGAGAAGAAGACAUCUAGCUAAUAACUAUGGACCUGAAGGUCUGUGGUAAACUACUCACACAUCAUCGAAGAGGCUAUGGUGUUGAUGUAGAAGCCCUCCGUGAUCAAUUCCCCCUCCGGUGGAGCGCCGAAAAAGGCCCCAAGAUGGGAUCUCACAGGUACAGAAGGUUGUGGCGGUGGAAAUAGGGUUUCGUGGUGCUCUCGGAUGUUUUCGGGGUAUAUGAGAAUAUAUAGGCGAAAGAAGUCGGUCAGGGGAGCCACGAGGGGCCCACGAGGGUGGGGGCGCGCCUACCCCCUGGGCGCGCCUCCCUGCCUCGUGGCUGCCUUGUUUCUUUCUUGACGUCCACUCCAAGUCCCCUGGAUUGUUCUUGUUCCAAAAAUCACUCUCCCGAAGGUUUCAUUCUGUUUGGAUUCCGUUUGAUAUUCCUUUUCUGCGAAACACUGAAAUAGGCAAAAAAACAGCAAUUUGCACUGGGCCUUUGGUUAGUAGGUUAGUCCCAAAAAUAAUAUGAAGUGUAUAAUAAAGCCCAUUAAACAUCCAAAACAGAUAAUAUAAUAGAAUGGAACAAUCAAAAAUCAUAGAUACGUUGUAGACGUAUCAAUUAUAUUUCAACUCAUGCCGUUCCGGGAUGCUUAUGAGUUGUGGACAAAGCUUCAAGAUAAAUAUGGCGUGUCCAAGAUUUGUGGGGAUGAUUGUUCUCCCUCCACCUCUGGCCGUAUUAUGUUCUCAACUUCUUCUACUUCACCUACAUGUGGUUUUCCACAAGGUAAUGAAAUGAUGAGUAGUGUUGGUCAUUGCAAUGAUGAUAGUAUGCUUAUUGUGGAUGAUCCUUCAUCACUAUCCUAUUGCAAUGCAUCUUCUUUGCACUUUAACACUUCGAGCACCCUACAUGUUUCUCAUGCUUGUGUUGAUAGUCCGUGCAUAUCUUGUAGAAAUUGCUUGACUAAAUCUCAUGAUGAUAUGCUUGAUAUAUCUUGUUGCCAUGAUAAAAAUGCUUGUAUUUCCUCGAGUUGUUGUGCUAACAAUGUAGAGGAAACCCAACACUCCAUGAAACAAGAUGUGGUUUUAAAUGGUGCUUCAAGGGAUCCUACAUCAUCUUCUAUUGCGGUUUGCCUUAUGACCAAGGCUUCAAAGGUAUCUCCUACCUUGAAUCCCAAUAUGUCUCUUGUUGAUGAUGUUGAUGCUAAUAAUGAUGAGGAUAAUGAUGAAGAGAAUGAUAAUGUUGCCUCCUUUAAAAUUAAGGGGGAAAUGAUUUUUAAAGCUCUUCAUAAGAAUAAAAUUGGUCGUUCCAACUUCAUGGAAAUCAUGUCUAUUUCUAUUGAGAGCAAAAAAUAUAGAGGAGUUGGAAUCUCAUCUAGAGGAGCUUGAGGUCACCAUUGAAAAAAUGGAAUGUCAUGAGCGUGAUUACGCUAAUGAGAUUGCGGACCUCUCUCAAGCUCUUGAACUUGAACAAACCACCAAGGAAUCUCUCGAUGAGACUUUUGCUCUAGAAUUAUCUAGAGUGAAGGAAUCUCAUGAUAGAGCUCCUGAGGUGGCCAAUGAUUUUGAAACUAAAAAUGAGAAGCUUGAAGUUGUGCAUGCUAAACUUCUUGAGGACUUUGGGCACCUUGAAAAUGGCUCAAGUGUCAUUAAGAGUGAGCUCAUCAAACUCAUCGAGUCUCAUGCACAACUUAAAGCUUCAUAUUCAAAAGAGCUUGCCAAGUUGCCUUCUCCUCUUGCUAUUAUUGAUGAUGCUUGUGCUACUAACUCUAUUACUUGUGAAGCAUCCAUUUUGAAGGAGAAUGUUGAGCUUCAGGCUCAACUUGAGUUGCUAUCUAGCAAUUAUGGGAAAUUGGAAGAAAGCCAUGAAAAGCUCUCAAGCUCUCAUGAUGAUCUUCUGGUAUCCCAUAAUGUGCUAAAGAUAGCUCAUGAGGCCAUGAUUGCUAAGGUAACAUCUAGUGAUCCUCAUGUGGAUACUAGCACUACUUUUAGUCAAAAUGCUAUAUUGCCUUGUGCUAGUCCUCGUAAUUCAUCUAUGCAUAACAUUGGCACAUCUUGUGAUGAAUUGCUUUCCUUGCCUUGUUGCUCUAACGAUGAAGCUUAUACUUCCUCUAGUGCUCAAGGCCCAAGUCACUUCUUUGAAGAAAGACUUGGAAAAGUGUCAUGAAGGGAAAUCCACACUCAACAAUAUCUUGAGUGUGCAAAAAUCCCCCAAUGACAAAGGUGGACUUGGAUUCAACUCCAAUAAGAAGAAGAAGUCCAAGAUGAACAAGAAUAAGGGCCAAGAACAAGUCAAGAAUUCAGCCAAGAUUAUUUGCUUCAAGUGCAAAAUUGAAGGGCAUCAUGUUAGAUCUUGCCCAUUGAAGAAGAAGGCCAUUAGUGACAAGCAACAAGGGAAGCGGCCACAAGUUCAAUCUCAUACUCAACCACAAGUUGAAGAAGGGCCUCUUCCCAAGAAUACUCAAGCUAAUGCUUCUCAAGUUGAGAACUCAAGUGAGAAGAAAGUGAAGAGUAGACAUUGCUACUUAUGUUGUGAGAAAGGUCACCUCGCUUCUUCAUGCACUAGUGGUAACACAUCCAACCCAAUUAUUAUUGAUGAUAUCUAUUCUCUUGGGAAGGAUAAGGUUGGCAAUGUGUUUGCCAAGUUUGUUGGUACUCAAAGUGGUGUCAAGCAAAGAACCAUUUGGGUAGCCAAGCCUAUUGUGACUAACCUCUUAGGACCCAACUUGGUUGGGAACCAACUAGCUCAAACUUGAUCAAUAGGUGUCUACGGAGGGCAUUGAAGACUUGGCUACAUUAUGAAGAAUUAAGGGGAUUUUCAUCAUUCAUAUUGUCUCAAGCCAAGUCAUUCGGAUUAUCAAGUUUCUAUCUUAUAUCCAAUGUUCCUCCUUGCGGUAACUCAUGCUUAAAGUGUUUACAUUGAUAGUUACUUGCCCCUUUGCAUGUUUGGUUUCGUUCCUUGCAUGUGUUUGUAUAUGUUGUGCUUCCAACUUGAUUAUCUUGAGAAAUCAAGUAUGUGUGUGUUGGUUUGCACAUCAUGUACGUGUGUGUCAUGCAUUGAAGCUUUUGCAUCUUGUUUAUAUCUUAAUUGGCUCGUGUGAGAGAUUAAUGGAACAUCCCAUUUUGGGGGAGUGAUGUGCUUUGUGCACCUCACGGACCCACAAAUGUGUGUACAUGAGGAAUACCACCUAGUAUUGAUAUUGCAAGCUUAUCUAGUCACUAUGUGGUAUGUCUUCUCAUGAGAAAUUCAAAUUCUAAAUAGUCCAUUAAUUAUCUCUUGUUGUAUCCUCUUAUUGCCUCUUGUUAAGUUUUUAUUGGUAUCACAUUAUGGGGGAGUAAUAUGCUAUGUGCAUAUUACAAGCCUAGAAAAUGUGUACAUUUGAGAUAUUGUCACCUAGAAUUGAUAUUGUAAAUUAUCUUGUUCCUAGGUGGCAUGUUAGCUCUACAAGUUGCAAUUUGCUUGUGUUUGGUGUGAAGAUGAUGUUGGAUAUCCUUGCUAUCUACCAACGGAAUUAUUUCCAAAUACUUCUUGUCUUUUGACAAUUUGUACUCACUUAUGUGUGGUAGAAAUUAUUGAUUCUCUUUACAUUGGCCUUUGCUUUUAUUUGCCUUAUCUCUUGCCUAGGAUUGUGUCAACUCCCAUUGAAUUCCAUACCACUUGUGGAUCUUGUUAUUUCCUUGAGAUUGUCUAGUGUUUGUAUAGACAUAGUUAAAGUGGUGAUCCCAUCUUGUGCUUUUUGUAUUCAAAUGCAAAUUCUCUAUAAUGCACAAUUCUUGGGGGAGCUAUCCUAUUUUUCUUAGAACGCUCACCUUGUGAUCCUUGUCAAGUGUGUGUUGGUGGAAUGCAAACCGUUUCUUUUUGGUACUUGUGCCAUCAUGAAACUUUAUAGAGCACUUGGUUUGUCUGGAACCAUUCUCUCUUUUGGGAGUUUGACAUCAUUCUUUUUGAGUGUGCUAAUGGAUAUCUCAUUCCUUGAUGUAUCGGUUAAUGAUAUCUUCCCAGUGAUGGUUUCUCCUUUUGGUAUCCUUUUCACUUGGUAUUCCUUUUUCAUUUGGUGUUGGUUCUUGAAAGUCUUUAGCAUGCAUAUUUACUUCAUGUAUUUUCUUUGGCAUGCUUUCUUUCCAUGUCCCAAUAUAUAGGGGAAACUCCACCAAGUCUCAAAUUGGAUGAGAUGUGCAUGAAAUUCAUGUCCAUAUCUAUAUGCACAUAUUUAUGUGGAGUUCGUCCUAUGUAUAUUGGUGUUUCUAACCCUUUGGUCCCAAUGAGUUUGGGUACCAUUUUGUUUGUGUUAUGGGUCUAGGAACAAUUGGAGAUGCAUUGGAUGCUCGGCUCACUCACAAGGGAGGUGGUGUCACCAUGUGCUUAUUGGAGUCAGGCUAGGAUGCUCAAUGAACUACUAUCUACUACCUUCAAUUGGUUUCUACUACAUCCUUCCAAUGUUAACUCGAUAACAAAUAUCUUCAUAUACUUCAUGCACACAUUUCUUGCUUCAACCUUUUUUAGGUUGCAUCUUGGCAUGAUAUUCAUUCCAUCUUGUGAUACUUGUUUCCUUUCUGAAAGAAUCUCAACGAUGAUCUCAUGUUGCUAGUUGUGAUGUCUUUAAUGGUUGUGUGGUAGGAAUUCAUUUAUAUACAAUAAGACCAUAUCUAGCCAUGUGCUAUGCUUCCAAGCAAAUAUCUUAUUGGUAUAUGUAUGACUUCCUUUUGGAUAUCUUCUUCCUUCGUGUUGUAACUAGUUCGGAUGUACAUCCUUCUUUGUAGAUAUAUAUCAUCAUGAUUUCGUCUACCUAGAACCUUAUACACUUGAGAGAAAUUACAUCUCUAGAUGAUAUCCUUUCUUUCACGUCCACCUUGUCUUUCUUAUGUUAUUUCUUUGGUGGCUCCAUGAAAGCUUUUGCCUUGAGUGCGUGUCUUAUCUCGUUGCAUCUUGAUGCACUCUUGUGUGGUGAAGAUUAUUUUCCUCAUGCUUGUCCUUAUGAGGCUUUUGCCAUCUUAAUUGGUAUCCCUUGUCUUGAUGAGGCUUUCUUCUUCUAUCUUCACCAUGGAUUGUCGCAAACUUUGUUGUUUUGUUUUCAGUGAGCUUGUGAACCCAUUUGCUAGUUGGGUGUGUGUGUGAAGGAAUGUCAUGCACCGUGUAUCUCAUUUAUCCAAGACUAUGUUCAUGCUUAAUGCUCAUCCUUAUUUUAGUCUUCUCAAGUGCUUUGCCAUGACUCACACACAUCAUUUUGGUUGAGCCUAUUCUUAAGUUGCCUCUUUUACAUGUUGCUCAACCAUGUGUUUGUUGCAAGUGCUAGGCUUUGUUUCCUAUAUGCUCACUUACACUUGUUGUGAGUUUCUAUUGAUUUUGGGGGAGCUAUGAUCCUAUUCUGUGCACUUUGUAUCCUAAUUCAAAAAUUCUUAUGUGUGCACAAAUCAUGGGGAGAUUCUCUAGUUUCUUUAGAUCACUCCUUUGCUCAUAUCAUAAUAUCCUUUAUUCAUGUGUCUCGUAGGAUCUUUGGUCUAGUUGGUUCAAUUGGUAUCUUUUGAUAGCUUGCUUCAAUUGGUAUCUUUUGAUUGCUUGAUUGCUUGUUUCUCUCUUUGGUAUGUCUUUGUGGCAUAUCUUUCUUUUGCAAUCUUUGAGCCUCAAUAAAGUUUGUCUUCCUCCAAGUAUUUACCGUUGGAUAUGUGUAUUGCAUUCCACUCUCUUGUGGAGAAAUACACAAUUUAUGGAGAAACACAAUUUAUAUUGGCCUUCUAAGCUUUUCUCCCAUUUUGGCAAUCGAUGCCAAUGGGGGAGAAGUUUCAGAGAGUUUUGUGCAGAAGUUUAGAGAGUCAUCUUUUCUUGCUAUGGUUGUGUUCCCAAGCGUUUGCAUGUCUUAUGCAUGCGUUAUUGGUUGUUGCAUUGCAUGGUGAUGCAUAAUUCCUUAUAUAAACUCUCUUGAAAGCGAUUGUCAUCAGUUACCGAAAUGGGGAGAUUGAAAGAACAUGUGGUGCCCCCAUGUUUGGUUUUGGUAAUUAAUGACAAUCUCUAUGGACUAAUGGUUGCCUUGAAUUAUAUUUGAAGGAUUUUUUCAUAGGCAUUUCUUGAAGUCCAUGUGUUGGUUUCAAGGAGUUUAUGAGUUGACCAAGGUGCUAUUAAGGAAUUAUUCUAAGAUUGGUCAUGUGAGUGUUGAGCUUAUUGCAAGCAUGUCUUGAAGAAGAAGAUUGUGUGAUCAUUCAUGUUUACCUUCAAGACAUCAUCCAAAUGAACAGAGUUGGAAAGAUUCAAGGUUGAUCAAGACUAAGUCAAGAAUGAAUCAAGUUGAUCAACUCACAAAGCAUAGGAGAUGUACCGAGAGGGAUCAAGUGAUCCCAUGGUAUGGUAAGUGAUACGUCUCCAACGUAUCUAUAAUUUUUGAUUGUUCCAUGCUAUAUUAUAUUAUGUUUUGGACAUUAUUGGGCUUUAUUAUACACUUUUAUAUUUAUUUUGGGACUAACCUAUUAACCGGAGGCCCAGCCCAGAAUUGUUGUUUUUCCCUAUUUCAGAGUUUCGCAGAAAAAGAAUAUCAAACGGAGUCCAAACGGAAUGAAACCUUCGGGAACGUGAUUUUCGGAACGAACGUGAUCCAGAGGACUUGGACCCUACGUCAAGACAUCAACCAGGAGGGCACGAGGUAGGGGGCGCGCCUACCCCCCAGGGCGCGCCCUCCACCCUCGUGGGCCCCCUGUUGCUCCACCGAUGUACUCCUUCCUCCUAUAUAUACCUACGUACACCCAAACUACCAGAUACGGAGCCAAAAACCUAAUUCCACCGCCGCAACCUUCUGUACCCGUGAGGUCCCAUCUUGGGGCCUGUUCCGGAGCUCCGCCGGAGGGGGCAUCGAUCACGGAGGGCUUCUACAUCAACACCAUAGCCUCUCCGAUGACGUGUGAGUAGUUUACCUCAAACCUUCGGGUCCAUAGUUAUUAGCUAGAUGGCUUCUUCUCUCUUUAUGGAUCUCAAUACAAUGUUCUCCCCCUCUCUUGUGGAGAUCCAUUCGAUGUAAUCUUCUUUUGCGGUGUGUUUGUUGAGACCGAUGAAUCGUGGGUUUAUGAUCAAGAUUAUCUAUGAACAAUAUUUGAAUCUUCUCUGAAUUCUUUUAUGUAUGAUUGGUUAUCUUUGCAAGGCUCUUCGAAUUAUCAGUUUGGUUUGGCCUACUAGAUUGAUUUUUCUUGCAAUAGGAGAAGUGCUUAGCUUUGGGUUCAAUCUUGCGGUGUCCUUUCCCAGUGACAGUAGGGGCAGCAAGGCACGUAUUGUAUUGUUGCCAUCGAGGAUAACAAGAUGGGGUUUAUAUCAUAUUGCAUGAGUUUAUCCCUCUACAUCAUGUCAUCUUGCUUAAAGCGUUACUCUAUUCUUAUGAACUUAAUACUCUAGAUGCAUGCUGGAUAGCGGUCGAUGUGUGGAGUAAUAGUAGUAGAUGCAGGCAGGAGUUGGUCUACUUGUCUCGGACGUGAUGCCUAUAUACAUGAUCAUACCUAGAUAUUCUCAUAACUAUGCUCAAUUCUGUCAAUUGCUCAACAGUAAUUUGUUCACCCACCGUAAAUACUUAUGCUCUUGAGAGAAGCCACUAGUGAAACCUAUGGCCCCCGAGUCUAUUUUCCAUAAUAUUAAUCUUCCAACACUUAGUUAUUUUUAUUGCCUUUUAUUUUACUUUGCAUCUUUAUCAUAAAAAAUACCAAAAAUAUCAUCUUAUCAUAUCUAUCAGAUCUCACUCUCGUAAGUGACCGUGUAGGGAUUGACAACCCCUUAUCGCAUUGGUUGCGAGGAUUUAUUUGUUUGUGUUGGUGCGAGGGACUCGUGCGUAGCCUCCUACUGGAUUGAUACCUUGGUUCUCAAAAACUGAGGGAAAUACUUAUGCUACUUUGCUGCAUCACCCUUUCCUCUUCAAGGGAAAACCAACGCAGUGCUGAAGAAGUAGCAGUAAGAAUUGGCCAUUGCGCUUUGUGUACUAACCCAUGGUCUAUGUGAGAGUUCUAUGUGUGGUUAGGUACGUGUUCAUGGGCUUCCGUCAAGAGGAAGAUAUCACUCAACCCAUGGAGAGAAUGACAUCAAGUGGUGAUCGUCAUCAAGAUUGUCGUGUGCAAGUUCAAGUGGAGCAUCACGAAGAGAUCAAGUGCUUGAAGCUUGACAUCCACUGUGGUGUCAAUGUUGUCAGAGUAAAUGGCCACGGGUAGCCUAACCGACUGCCCCUGGCUCUUUCAAAAAAUUAUCAGGCCUUUGGGCCUUCAAGCAUUUUAAGCAUUGGGCCGCCUUCCCUAGCCGGCAACCAUUGAAGCCGACUCCCUGAAGGCGACCCAGCCUCAGCAACCUCCCCUCCAAGAUAACCACGGGGUGGCCGACUCCAGGGAGCCGGCCAAAGAGGAUGCCGACUCCCCAGAGCCGGCCAUGAAGAACGCCGACUCCAAGAAGCCGGCCAAGACCGCAACCACCAAGACUACACCCACAUAACGGUGACAAGACGGGGUGUGGCCACAGUGCGGCCCACUACCCCCGAAGCCCGAGGCAGGCAUGGCCACAGGACGCCGUACGGGACGGCCAUCCCCCGUUCGGCUCGGCACUGUAGCCAUGCUAACCUCGACGUCACCCACGACAGACUCCCGUACGGCCCACGGGAGGCGGGCCCCUUUAGACAGAGAGAGGCAUGAAGGCGGCCCGGCUCUCCCCCAGUCGGCCAAGGGCGUAGCCGGCCCCCAAGGGUCGGCUACCCCCUUCCUCGAAGCAUGCGCCACAUUAAGGAGACAAGACGAGGUAAGGCUACAGUGAGAGUCCUCGAGGCGGCCCACUGUAGCCACGCUUACCCCGACAAAGCCCUCGUCAUCAGAGGCGAGGCAACAGUAAGCAGCCGCCGACAAGACCCAAGGCGGUGGGGCCGGCCUGUCGACCAAGAGGCCGGCAGCCGGCGGGACCCACCAGUCGGCGGGCCCCAAUGGCCGGCGGAGAAGCCGGCGAGCAUAGACACUGACGGCUGGGACCAGUGCCCAGCCGGAUUACAAUUGUACCCCCAGGGGGUAGGCCUAUAUAAACCCACCGGAGCACCCAUGCAAAGGGUUGGCUUCUAAGCAUAGCACACACACCAUAGAGAGAGAGAAGUGAGAGCUAGCCUUGUUCUUCUUCUCCCUUGAACCCAACAGCUCUAGGAGCGAUUGUAGCUACUUUUACCGAUCUAGUGAUCAUGCGGAGACCCCGCAGAGCAGGACUAGGGGUGUUAUCUCCUCGGAGAGCCCCGAACCUGGGUAAGAUCCGCCGGCGUGCAUGUCUUCGCCUCAUCCCAUUUCCAGGCACCGGCGACGUCUUAUUGGCACCCACAAUGAUAAGCCACCCGUUGGCAUAUGUCGCACCAACCACCCGACAAAUGUACUUGUGAAGAUGUGCCGAAGAGUGGCUCACUGAUACGUCUCCAACGUAUCUAUAAUUUAUGAAGUAUUCGUGCUAUUAAUUUAUCCGUCUUGGAUGUUUAUGGGCUUUAUUAUGCACUUUUAUAUUACUUUUGGGACUAACCUAUUGACCCAGAGCCCAGUGCCAGUUUCUGUUUUUUCCCUUGUUUCAGUGUUUCGAAGAAAAGGAAUAUCAAACGGAGUCCAAACGGAAUGAAACCUUUGGGAAAGUUAUUUUUGGAAAGAAAGCAAUCCGGGAGACUUGGAGUGCACAUCAGGGGAUCAACGAGGAAGGCACGAGGCAGGGGGGCGCGCCCACCCCCUGGGCGCGCCCUCCACCCUCGUGGGCCCCUCGUGGCUCCCCUGACGUAUUUCUUCCUCCUAUAUAUACCAAUAUACCCUAAAACCAUAGGGGAACAGAAGAGAUCCGGAGUUCCGCCGCCGCAAGCCUCUGUAGCCACCAAAAACCAAUCGGGACCCUGUUACGGCACCCUGCCGGAGGGGGGAUCCCUCACCGGUGGCCAUCUUCAUCAUCCCGGCGCUCUCCAUGACGAGGCGGGAGUAGUUCACCCUCGGGGCUGAGGGUAUGUACCAGUAGCUAUGUGUUUGAUCUCUCUCUCUCGUGUUCUUGAGGUGAUACGAUCUUGAUGUAUUGCGAGCUUUGCUAUUAUAGUUGGAUCUUAUGAUGUUUUCCCUUUGAAGUUAUCUUAUCGGAUUGAGUCUUUAAUGAUUUGAGAACACUUGAUGUAUGUCUUGCGUGGGAUAACCGUGGUGACAAUGGGUUAUUCAAUGGGCUGGGAGCCGAUGAGCUCCCCUACAUGACGAGACGGAUCCAGCAGCUGAUCGACGCGGCUGCAGAACGACACGAAGCCGGCGCCCGUGCUGAUAGCCAUCCCCCGCGCCGGGAGCACGCCGCGACGUCCCGCUCACCGACUGCGAGCGGCACUCGCCAGAAGAAAGACAAGGAGCCGGCUGCCAGCCGCAGCCGGACUAGCAUCACCAUCGAGCGCGUUGCGGAGGGCCGCCCUCGAGCGGUGGAACACCAAGGGAAUCUGCCUCCUCCCCCGCCUCGAAGAGAAAGACGUCUCACCCCGCCGCCUAUCACGCACCCGACUCUUGGCGACCGACUCGGCCGCCGAGAAGGAGUCGGCAAGAACGACGCCCGCCACCGGAUCGACCGCCUUGCUCCCCGCAUCCACGACGAGCCCUUCCCCAACGGGUUCUCGCUCCCCAGAGACACGCCCAAGUACAACGGCUCUGUGAAGCCGGAAGAUUGGCUCAUCGACUACUCCACGGCCGUCAGCAUAGCCAACGGCAAUCGGCGCGUCGCCGUGAAGUAUGUCCCCCUCAUGCUGCAAGGUACGGCGCGCAAAUGGCUCAACAGCCUCAAGCCCUACAGCAUCAACAGUUGGCUGGACUUCACAUAAGUCUUCGUCCGCAACUUCACCAGCACCUACAAGCGGCCUCCCAAGCCUCGCCAGCUCUCCCUCUGCGUCCAAGGGCCCAACGAGUCGACCCGCGACUACCUCACGCGGUGGGCCGAGCUCCGCAACUCCUGCGAGGGGGUGCAUGAGGUCCAGGCCAUCGAAUACUUCACCGCCGGGUGCCGAGAAGGCACCCUCCUCAAGCACCGACUCCUCUGCGACGAGCCGGCUACCCUCGACGAGUUACUGGUGAUCGCGGACAAGUACGCCACGGCUGACUCAUCCAUGAAGACCGAGCUCCGAGUGGACGCCUCGGGGAAAGUGAUCACUCCGGCUCCCAAAACGCCGGCUGGUCGAUCACAAGCGCAAGGCCCCCAUGCCGACUUCCACCAGUCGGCAGGUGGCCACCGUUGAAGACGAGCAGCCCGAAGAACGGCCCGCUCCCAAGAAGAAGGGUGGCAGGCCGCCCUGGCAGCCCGCUUUCUCCUACGAGCAGGCUCUUGAUGCCCCCUGCAAAUUCCACAGCGGCGCGAAGCCGUCCAACCACACAACCUGGAAAUGCCAUUGGCUCACCCGCAUCACCAAGGGCGAAGGGAUGUUGCCACCUCCGCCUCCCGGACCACCGCCUCCAGCCCCCCAGCAGCCGGCGGCUCGGCCGGCAGUCGGCGCCAUCCAAGACGAAUUCCCCGAAGAGCACGCCGCCUACGUCGUCUUCACCAGUCAAGCCGACGACAAGCGCAGUCGGCGCCGACAACACCAAGAAGUUAAUGCAGUCGCCACCAGCGCCCCGAGUUCAUGCACUGGUCAGAGAAGCCAAUCAGCUGGAGCCAGGCCGACCAUCCAGAGGUGAUGUCGUCUCCUGACUCCUAUGCGAUGGUCUUGGAUGUCACCCUCGCGACGGAGAGGCGAGCUGCCCGAUUCUCCCGAGUCCUGAUAGAUGGCGGAAGCAGUAUCAACAUACUGUACCGCGAUACCAUGGAGAAGCUGAACAUCAAAGCGAAGCAGCUCAUGCCGAGCCGCACCGUCUUCCAUGGUAUCGUCCCCGGCCUAUCUUGCUCCCCAAUCGGCAAGAUUAAAAUGGAUGUUCUCUUCGGAGACAAAGAUCAUUUUCGCCGAGAAGCCAUCUGGUUCGAGGUAGUGGAUUUGGAGAGCCCCUAUCAUGCUCUGCUUGGCUGACCUGCUCUGGCCAAGUUCAUGGCUGUGCCCCACUACGCUUACCUGAAGAUGAAGAUGCCGAGCUCGAAGGGGAUCAUCACGGUAGCCGGCGAUUACAAGAAGUCCAUCGAGUGUGCCAUGGCCAGCAGCCGGCUGGCCGAGUCCCUCGUGAUGGCAGAAGAGAAGAAGAUGCUGGAACGGGUUGUGGCCAUGGCCGGCAAGCAGCCGGCCUUGUCCCCCAACCCCAAAGAUUGUGAUGCGCAGGGCUCCUUCCAGCUUGCCAAAGAGACAAAGAAGAUACCUCUGGACCCGGAGAACUCGGAGAGGUUCGCAGUCAUUGGGGCAAACUUGGACAGUAAAUAGGAAGGCGAGCUCGUCGACUUCCUCCGUGAGAAUCGAGACAUCUUUGCAUGGUCCCCAAAGGACAUGCCGGGUGUCCCGAAGGAUUUUGCCGAGCACAAGUUACAUGUCUGAGCUGACGCGAAGCCGGUCAAGCAACCCCUCCACCGACUGUCAGAGGAGAAGCGAAGAAUUGUGGGAGAAGAGAUAGCCCGGCUCCUUGCUGCUGGCUUUAUCAUGGAAGUGUUCUUUCCAGAGUGGCUUGCCAACCCAGUUCUGGUUCUGAAGAAGAAUAACAAGUGGCGUAUGUGUAUAGACUACACCAGCCUGAACAAGGCCUGCCCAAAGGAUCCGUUUGCUCUGCCGCGGAUUGACCAAGUGAUAGACUCCACAGCCGGAUGCGAGCUGUUAAGUUUUUUGGAUGCGUACUCAGGGUACCAUCAGAUCAAGUUGGACCCAGCUGACCGCCUGAAGACUGCCUUCAUCACACCCUUUGGAGCUUUCUGCUACCUGACUAUGACAUUCGGCUUGAAAAAUGCCGGUGCCACUUUUCAGCGUUGCAUGCAAAAAUGCCUCUUGAAACAACUCGGCAGAAAUGCCCACGUCUAUGUAGACGACAUUGUGGUGAAGACAGAGAAGCGCGGUACCCUGCUGGAAGACCUAAAAGAAACAUUUGCCAACUUGCGCCGAUUCCAAAUCAAGCUCAACCCCGAGAAGUGCGUGUUCGGAGUACCAGCCGGCCAGCUGCUAGGCUUCCUGGUCUCCGAACGCGGCAUCGAGUGCAACCCCGUCAAGAUCAAGGCCAUCGAGAGGAUGGAGAUUCCCACCAAACUGCGAGAUGUGCAGAAGUUCACUGGCUGCUUAGCCUCCCUGAAUCAUUUCAUCAGCCGACUAGGAGAGAAGGCUCUCCCCCUGUACCGACUCAUGAAGAAGUCCACUCACUUCGAGUGGAACAACCAAGCCGACCAAGCCUUCCCUGAGUUGAAGAAAAUGCUGACCACUGCGCCCGUCCUGGCAGCGCCGACUGAGAAGGAGCCCAUGCUCCUCUACAUCGCCGCGACUAGCCGAGUCGUCAGCACUGUUGUUGCGGUCCAGCGCCCGGAAGGAGGCCGAGCCCAGCUAGUCCAGAGGCCGGUGUACUACCUCAGCGAAGUGCUAUCCAGUUCAAAGCAAAACUACCCGCACUACCAGAAGAUGUGCUAUGGGAUGUACUUCGCAGCCAAGAAAUUGAAGCCCUACUUCCAAGAGCAUCCCAUCACGGUCGUAUGCACCGCCCCGCUCGCCGAGAUCAUAAGCAGCCGGGAUGCAUCCGGCCGGGUGGCUAAAUGGGCCAUUGCGCUGGCGCCCUACACGAUCUUCUACCAACCCCGCACCGCCAUCAAGUCCCAAGCAUUGGCCGACUUCCUCGUCGACUGGGUCAAGACCCAGUACCUACCGCCGGCUCCGGACUCUACCCAUUGGCGGAUGCACUUUGACGGGUCCAAGAUGCGCACCCGCUUGGGAGCCGGCAUCGUCCUCACUUCUCCCAAAGGCGACAAGCUCAAGUACACGCUGCAGAUCCACUUCGCCGCCUCCAACAACGUGGCCGAGUACGAGGCGAUCGUACAUGGGCUCCGGCUAGCCAAAGAGCUCGGCAUACGCCGGAUCCUGUGCUACGGCGACUCAGACUUGGUGGUCCAGCAGUCGUCUGGCGACUGGGAUGCCAAGGACGCGAACAUGGCGAGCAAUCGAUUCCUCGUCCAGCAGAUCAGCGACUACUUUGAAGGGUGCGAGUUCCUUCACGUGCCAAGGGCCGACAACGACCAAGCAGAUGCCCUAGCACGGAUCGGCUCCACCCGACAAGCCAUACCGACUGGCGUCUCCCUCCACCGCCUCCUCAAGCCGUCCAUCAAGCCGUCUCCAGAAUCGGACUCCAUCUUCGUACCGCCUGCGCCAGAUACGGCCGGAUCCGACUGGAGAAACCCCGCAGGCGGCACGGGGACUUCAACAACUGGCCCGGGGACUGCCGUAGUCGCACCCAGCCCGGGGACUUUAGAACCCGGCUCGGGGACUGCAGCAGUCGGCCCGGGGACUGCAACGACACAAGAAGCGGUGGCCGACCCCAAUUCCACGCCACCCAACCCACCCACCCGAGUCAUGGUGGCUACAUUAACAGAAGAAGAAGUCACAGCUCCGUCAUGGGCCCAGCCCAUCCUCAAAUUCCUAGUCAACAGAGAGCUGCCGACUGAUGAGAUCUCGGCAAGACUAGUGCAACGACGAGCCGCAGCAUAUGCAAUAAUCAACAGAGAGCUUGUGAAGCGCAGCAUCACUGGAGUCUUCCAGCGUUGUGUCGAGCCAGAAAAAGGAGUGGCAAUCCUCAAGGACAUCCACCAAGGCGAAUGCGGCCACCACGCAGCCUCAAGAUCACUCAUGGCCAAGGCUUUCCGCCAUGGUUUCUUCUGGCCGACUGCCUUGGAGGAUGCUAAAGAAAUAGUCAAGAGCUGCAGAGGAUGCCAAGUUUUUAGUUCCAAGCAACACCUACCGGCUUCUGCACUCAAGACCAUCCCCCUCACCUGGCCCUUUGCCGUCUGGGGACUGGACAUGGUGGGCCCUUUCAAGACAGCCCGCGGCGGCUUGACACAUCUACUGGUCACUGUGGACAAGUUCACAAAGUGGAUCGAAGCAAAGCCGAUUAAGAAGCUGAAUGGGCCGACUGCCGUGACAUUCAUCACUGACAUCACUACUCGGUACGGCGUGCCGCACAGCAUCAUCACCGACAACGGCACGAACUUUGCCAAAGGAGCACUGGCUCGUUUCUGCGCGACGCAAGGCAUCCGACUGGACUUAGCGUCCGUUGCCCACCCGCAGUCAAACGGCCAGGUCGAGCGAGCAAACGGACUCAUCCUCUCCGGCAUCAAGCCCCGACUGGUUGUAACACUGGAGCGAUCGGCCGGCUGCUGGCUCAAGGAGCUGCCGGCUGUACUUUGGAGUCUGCGCACUACACCCAACAAGUCAACCGGCUUUACUCCAUUUUUCCUCGUGUACGGUGCCGAGGCUGUCAUCCCAACAGAUAUCGAGUUCGACUCGCCUCGGAUCACCAUGUACACAGAGGAGGAGGCCAUGGAAGCAAGAGAAGACGGCGUCGACCUACUGGAAGAAGGCCGGCUGUUAGCACUCAGCCGAUCCGCCAUCUACCAGCAAGGACUGCGUCGCUACUACAACCGCAAGGUCAAGCCAAGAUCCUUCCAAGAGGGCGACCUUGUGCUUCGGCUGAUCCAGCGAACAGCCGGCCAGCACAAGCUCUCGGCCCCUUGGGAAGGCCCCUUCGUCGUCAGCAAGGCACUCGGCAACGACUCCUACUACUUGAUCGACGCACAAAAACCAAGAGCACGCAAGAGAGACGACUCCGGCAAGGAGUCGGAGUGACCAUGGAACGCAAACCUCCUGAGACGAUUUUACAGUUGAAAGCAGUAUGUAUCAUGCCCCCCUUUUUGUAUUAAGUACAAACCAAGAGGCCCCACGAGCAGUACUCGGGGACUGCCUUUGUUUAUCUAUGAAUGACGAGUGUCAUAUCCACGAAUGUAUGAUUACAUUUGAUUUCUUGUCUGGCACCGGGUUCGACUAGUCGGCCCGGGGACUGGCCGCCUUGAGCUAUAUCAGAGGUUCUACCUGAAGUCAGAAAAGUAGUGUGCCGGCUCCCAAGUGCUCUCUUGUUGAAAGUCGCAGCUCGAAGAACCGACUGUCCGACUAACAAGAGGUAAGGCAGAAAGGAUGCCCACACGAAAAACGGCUAAGGACUAACGAAUCUAUAUAGCUACAAGAAGGCCUCCAAACAUGCCCGCCGGCUGUCAGAACAGCUGGCUGGCCGGCUUCCUAAAUACUUAGCUCCAAUCCAACAAAGCUAGAGUACUCGCCCUCCCAAUCGGCCAAGUACUUCUCCAGCAACAGAUUGCAAAGCAACUGUUGGACUGGGAAGGCGGCAACCAAGGGAGGACGGCAAAGGAAACAACGGAAGGAUAAAAAGCAAAGUACGAGGAAAAGCCAAAUGCAUGCAUAAGUUAUAUAUACAUAUAAAAGCCCCCAAUAGGCCGGCCAUCAACAUGGUUCGAAUACACCCCCAGUGGGUGGAAUUGUGCAGACUUAAUAGAAGUUUGGUUCCAAAAGUAACAGGACAGAAAAACAAAAGACGGCGGACUAGACUAAGGCGCGGUGCGAAGGCCGAGCUGGUCGGUGAAGGCGGCCUGGCCGGCUGAAGGAGUGGCCGCCUAGCGGGUCUCGGCUUGGCCGCCACCAGGGGCAGGCGACGCACUCGCACGAGACGUGGUGCUGGAGGCACGGUCAAGCUGAGGCUGGUCGGCUGCUCCACCAGCUGGCUCGACGUCUUCACCUUCCUCCUCCUCCUCUUCACCCUCGUCGCUGGAGUCGAUCUCCUCCGCCGAGUCUUCGCCAUCCGACGGGUUCAGCCCGAACCACUCCUCCGGCUGGGCGACACCGUUGUCGUCUACCUCGGGGGCGAAGACGCUGGUGUCGGUGUAGUCGGCGAUCGCUGAAGCCCGCCGGAUGAUAGCCGGCCGCGCCGGCUCCAGCUCCGUGUCGGCUUGCUGCCGCCAGGUAGCCAGCUGAUCCAGGCUCAGGCUGGGAUACCAGGCCUUGACGAACUCCAGCGCCCGCCUGGCGCUGGAGCGAGCCGACGAGGCCUUCCAAGCUUCAAAGCGGCCGACUGCCACCUCCAGCCAGUCGGCUGUCCGACUGGGAGUGCGAGGAAUCACUUGGCCGGGCCAGAGGGCGGCCAAGACUUCCGCCCCGGCACGCUGAAGCCGGCGAAGCAGUCGGUGCGCCGGCUGGAUGCGCGCCUGGAUUGCCAAGAGCUGCUCCUCCAGCGAACGGCCGGCGGUUGGCGAAAUCUCGAAGCCAGCCUGCCUCCGUGCCUGGCGGCGGGCCUCGAUGGUCUGGUUGGCGGCGGUAGAAUAGCCAGGAAAAUAUUCUGCGCAAGAAAGAAGAAGAAGAAGAAAAGAGCACCAAGUCAGAAAGCAAGCCAAAAGUGGCAGAUGGCAAGAAAGGACGAAGAGGUAGGCGGCUUACCGUCAACCAGAUCUUCGAUCUGACCAUAGCCAGAAAUCAGAGUUUGCCUGGCCUCAGCCCAGCCGGCCGCCUCCGUCUCGUACUCGGCCUGGAGGGCGGCUUCGCGGUCCUGCACCGCCUUCAGAGCCGCCUUGUGGCUUUCCUCCUGAUCGGCCAACUUCUUGGCCAGGCGGUCGCGUUCCUGCACCAAGGCGGCGAGCUCGGCAUCCUUGGCACGGAGGGCAGUCUGAGACUCUCCCAGCUGUGCCCUCAGACUGGCAUUGGCCGCUGCAGAGACGGCAGACAAAGAAAGAACAAUAAGAGGGAGUCGUCAAGGAAGAUCCGACCCGACUGCUCAGCAGUCGGCCCGAAUCUCGGGGACUACACCCAGUGGGUGCGCUGACGCGCCCCCACAUGAGAUAGAGAACAAAGCACGUACCUCGGCUCUCAGUAAGGUCGGCGGUCUUCUGGGUCAGCUCCCGAGCCUGGGAGUUGAAGGCGGCCGCACGAAGGUUGUGGUAGUCCUGCAAGAUAGACAGAAGAUCGAAGUAAGAACAAGAAUAGCAAAGACAAAUCCUCUAAGAAGUUCCAAGCCGCCUGCUCAGCAGCCGACUCGGAACUCGGGGACUACACCCAGUGGGUGCGCUGACGCGCCCCCACGGAAGAAAUCAGGAUCAAGAAGAAAUCAAGAUCAAGAAGAAGCAAGAUAAGAAGGCUAACCCGGAUGGCCGCCCGCGUCGCGAGGAACUCGUCGGUGUACUGCCUCAGCGCCGUAGCCUGGGCCUGGAGCUCGGUCCGGACGUCCUGCGCGGCCACGUUCAUCACGGCCGUCCCUCCGCCCGGCGUCCACCCCGAGGUAGCGCUGGCCGCCUCCGCAUCCUGGGCCGACGAGCUGGAGCCCGCGGCCGCCUGCGGCUCUGACGCGGCCUUCUGCGGCUCCGACGUAGCUCGGCGGCAUCCGGACCGCCACCUCAGUCCUCGCGGACGGCUCACCCCCCGCCGACUGCGCAGGCGGUGGUUCAGGCCGGCCGCCUUGGGCUGCCCAGUCGCCGGGGUCGGCACCGGCGCCCUCUCCAAGAUGAUGACAUCGUCGUCCCUCCCCAGUCCCGCCUGGCCGCCGCUGGCCCCUUCUGGCGAGGGCUCCAUGUCCCCCCCAGGCGCUAUGCCGCGCAGCGGAGUGACACCAAGACCUCCCCCGCCGCUGCUGCAGCUGCAGCCUCCGCCUGGGCCCUGGCCGCGGCGUCGGCGCGCGCCUUCGCCGCCUCCUCCUGCGCCGCCUGGGCGGCGGCCGCCUUCCGCGCUUCCUCCUCCUGCGCCUCCCGCGCCUCCCGCGCCUCCCGCUCCUCCCGCGCCUCCCGCGCAUUCCGCUCCGUCGCCGCCUGAAGGUCGGCACGGGGGUCCACGCGACGAGUGGUGCUCCCAUACCCCCUCGGCGACUCCACGACAGAGCCGGCAGCCGCCCGAUCAAGCGACAACGGAGUCCUGAUCGUUUGGAGAAAGAGACAAGGGUUUAGGAACCACCAGAGAAAAGAAAAAAGAGAAAAGAGCACACAAAAAUUCGAACUUACGCCGACACGGUCUGCAGUUGCUUCACCACCUUGUGGAAGCGAGCCGCCUUCGCGGCCGCCUCCUCCCGCCUGGUCGCCGCCGCCCCGCCUCUGGGCUUCUUCGACCGACUGCCGAACAAGCCCUGUGCGGCGCGACACUUCUCCCCGCCGCCUCGAGUAGGCGGUGCAGCGGAGGAACCCGCGCCGCGGCUAGAUGCCGGCUGACGACGCGGGACGACUUCGGCCUCGUCGUCGUCCGACCAGUCGUCGAAGGAGACUCCAUGCCCGGAGCCGCCUGCUUCGCCGCCGACUUGGCCGCCAGCCGGCUCGGUGUUGUCGUCCAUAGCGGCCGCCCCCAAGUCAGGGUCCUCCAGAUCGUGUUCCGUCCGGUCGGGGACGAAUCGACGCUCCGUGUCUGACCCGCCGGCCGGCCGAAGAAGAGGGCUCUGUCGAAGAACAAGCCGACCAAGUCAGAGUCGGCCAAGAGGAACUCGGCAACAGGGCUGAGAGAAAAAGAAGAGACAAGGAGAACAUACCGUAGGCGGCGGGUUGGCUCGGCUAUAUGGCUCCUUGCCGAACUGCCAAUCCACGGAGAGUUUGCAGUUCACGAGGUAGUUCACCAUAAAGGCCACCUCCUCGUGCGGCAUCUCCUUGGUACACAGCCGGCUCGGAUCGAGCUGGCCGCUCAUCUGACAGAUCAGAUGAGGACGGCUCUGGAGCGGAAGAACCGGCGCGUGACGAAGGCGGCCAGAAGGUCGGGCCCCGUCAGGCCCUCCGACUGGACCAUCACCUGCAGUCGGGCGAUGGCAGCGUUUCCAGCCGGCGUCAGCGUCAUGGCCCGGUACGACCACUGAGGCCGCCUGCCCACCGGUGGGCCGGCUACGUAAGCCGGCAGGUUGACGUAGUCGCCACGCGGGGCGAUGUUCCUGACGUAGAAAUACGACUUCUGCCACUUCUUCACCGACUGGGUCAGCGUGCUGACGGGGAAGGGGUUGUCGGCGACUGACCUCCGCGACGCGAUGAAGGCGCCAGUCUGAGCCUGCACGCCCUGCAUGCGCGUGCCCAGCUUGGACUGGAAGAGCUCCCCCCACAGCUCGAGGGUAGGGAGGACGCCGAGGUAGCCUUCGCACAUGGUGACGAAGGCCGACAGUAGCACCACCGCAUUCGGGGUGACGUGGUGCGGCUGGAGCUGAUAGAAAUCGAGCCAGGUGCGGAAGAAGGCGCUCACCGGCAGGCCAAUGCCGCGCAAGAAAUGCGAGCGGAACACCACCCGCUCGCCCUCCUGCGGCUCCGGCGUAAUUUCCGCCUCCGGUGCGAGACGAACCUCCACCUUGUCCGCGCCGGGCAGCCGCCGCGUCUGGCGGAGGAACUCCACGUGAUCCUCGUGGACGUUGGAGCCGUCCCAAUCCCCGCCAUGCUACUCCGUGGCGGGAGGCAUGGUGAAAACGAGCGCCGCGGCGGAGGAACGUACGGAGGAAGAGCGCGGCGGCGAGGCGCUGUCACAAGAAAUGGCAAGAGGAAGAAGAUGGUGGAGAAAGGAGGUGCGUGCGAGAGCCUGCCGCUCUCCCCCCUCCCCCUACUUAUAGCCUCGCGAGGUGAAGCCGGAGAGGCCUGACGUGGGGUGAGACGUGGGAUUAACUGCACCCACUCCUCCCACGCCCCGCGAUUAUUGCGCCCUAAAGGCGAGCCGAAACUGCCGCAAGGAGACGUGCGGGCGGUUUCGGGAUGUAGAGAAUCCACGCCUGGGCCCGGGCGCGGACGUGGCGGGCCCCCGCCCUGCGGCGACGUCCCGUCGCGCGCGUGGGCUGGCAGGCUUUUUGGUCACGUGGUCCGCAGGCGGCCAGCGACCGGCCCGCGGCCCGGAGCACGCACUGCCAAACUCCCGCUCUCCGACUCCGGAGUUUUCGACCAAGGCGGCACGACUAACCAGAGCCGGCUCCCAGCUGCCGGCUUGUCAAGAUAGGAAGCUGAUCGAGCUUCUCAACUCCAACCCAACCUCGAAGCCCAAUCAGCUUCGGGGACUACUUUCGGAGUAAAUGGCCACGGGUAGCCUAACCGUCUGCCCCUGGCUCUUUCAAAAAAUUAUCAGGCCUUUGGGCCUUCAAGCAUUUUAAGCAUUGGGCCGCCUUCCCUAGCCGGCAACCAUUGAAGCCGACUCCCUGAAGGCGACCCAGCCUCAGCAACCUCCCCUCCAAGAUAACCACGGGGUGGCCGACUCCAGGGAGCCGGCCAAAGAAGUGCUUAGCUUUGGGUUCAAUCUUGCGGUGUCCUUUCCCAGUGACAGUAGGGGCAGCAAGGCACGUAUUGUAUUGUUGCCAUCGAGGAUAACAAGAUGGGGUUUAUAUCAUAUUGCAUGAGUUUAUCCCUCUACAUCAUGUCAUCUUGCUUAAAGCGUUACUCUAUUCUUAUGAACUUAAUACUCUAGAUGCAUGCUGGAUAGCGGUCGAUGUGUGGAGUAAUAGUAGUAGAUGCAGGCAGGAGUUGGUCUACUUGUCUCGGACGUGAUGCCUAUAUACAUGAUCAUACCUAGAUAUUCUCAUAACUAUGCUCAAUUCUGUCAAUUGCUCAACAGUAAUUUGUUCACCCACCGUAAAUACUUAUGCUCUUGAGAGAAGCCACUAGUGAAACCUAUGGCCCCCGAGUCUAUUUUCCAUAAUAUUAAUCUUCCAACACUUAGUUAUUUUUAUUGCCUUUUAUUUUACUUUGCAUCUUUAUCAUAAAAAAUACCAAAAAUAUCAUCUUAUCAUAUCUAUCAGAUCUCACUCUCGUAAGUGACCGUGUAGGGAUUGACAACCCCUUAUCGCAUUGGUUGCGAGGAUUUAUUUGUUUGUGUUGGUGCGAGGGACUCGUGCGUAGCCUCCUACUGGAUUGAUACCUUGGUUCUCAAAAACUGAGGGAAAUACUUAUGCUACUUUGCUGCAUCACCCUUUCCUCUUCAAGGGAAAACCAACGCAGUGCUGAAGAAGUAGCAGUAAGAAUUGGCCAUUGCGCUUUGUGUACUAACCCAUGGUCUAUGUGAGAGUUCUAUGUGUGGUUAGGUACGUGUUCAUGGGCUUCCGUCAAGAGGAAGAUAUCACUCAACCCAUGGAGAGAAUGACAUCAAGUGGUGAUCGUCAUCAAGAUUGUCGUGUGCAAGUUCAAGUGGAGCAUCACGAAGAGAUCAAGUGCUUGAAGCUUGACAUCCACUGUGGUGUCAAUGUUGUCAGAGUAAAUGGCCACGGGUAGCCUAACCGACUGCCCCUGGCUCUUUCAAAAAAUUAUCAGGCCUUUGGGCCUUCAAGCAUUUUAAGCAUUGGGCCGCCUUCCCUAGCCGGCAACCAUUGAAGCCGACUCCCUGAAGGCGACCCAGCCUCAGCAACCUCCCCUCCAAGAUAACCACGGGGUGGCCGACUCCAGGGAGCCGGCCAAAGAGGAUGCCGACUCCCCAGAGCCGGCCAUGAAGAACGCCGACUCCAAGAAGCCGGCCAAGACCGCAACCACCAAGACUACACCCACAUAACGGUGACAAGACGGGGUGUGGCCACAGUGCGGCCCACUACCCCCGAAGCCCGAGGCAGGCAUGGCCACAGGACGCCGUACGGGACGGCCAUCCCCCGUUCGGCUCGGCACUGUAGCCAUGCUAACCUCGACGUCACCCACGACAGACUCCCGUACGGCCCACGGGAGGCGGGCCCCUUUAGCCAGAGAGAGGCAUGAAGGCGGCCCGGCUCUCCCCCAGUCGGCCAAGGGCGUAGCCGGCCCCCAAGGGUCGGCUACCCCCUUCCUCGAAGCAUGCGCCACAUUAAGGAGACAAGACGAGGUAAGGCUACAGUGAGAGUCCUCGAGGCGGCCCACUGUAGCCACGCUUACCCCGACAAAGCCCUCGUCAUCAGAGGCGAGGCAACAGUAAGCAGCCGCCGACAAGACCCAAGGCGGUGGGGCCGGCCUGUCGACCAAGAGGCCGGCAGCCGGCGGGACCCACCAGUCGGCGGGCCCCAAUGGCCGGCGGAGAAGCCGGCGAGCAUAGACACUGACGGCUGGGACCAGUGCCCAGCCGGAUUACAAUUGUACCCCCAGGGGGUAGGCCUAUAUAAACCCACCGGAGCACCCAUGCAAAGGGUUGGCUUCUAAGCAUAGCACACACACCAUAGAGAGAGAGAAGUGAGAGCUAGCCUUGUUCUUCUUCUCCCUUGAACCCAACAGCUCUAGGAGCGAUUGUAGCUACUUUUACCGAUCUAGUGAUCAUGCGGAGACCCCGCAGAGCAGGACUAGGGGUGUUAUCUCCUCGGAGAGCCCCGAACCUGGGUAAGAUCCGCCGGCGUGCAUGUCUUCGCCUCAUCCCAUUUCCAGGCACCGGCGACGUCUUAUUGGCACCCACAAUGAUAAGCCACCCGUUGGCAUAUGUCGCACCAACCACCCGACAAAUGUACUUGUGAAGAUGUGCCGAAGAGUGGCUCACUGAUACGUCUCCAACGUAUCUAUAAUUUAUGAAGUAUUCGUGCUAUUAAUUUAUCCGUCUUGGAUGUUUAUGGGCUUUAUUAUGCACUUUUAUAUUACUUUUGGGACUAACCUAUUGACCCAGAGCCCAGUGCCAGUUUCUGUUUUUUCCCUUGUUUCAGUGUUUCGAAGAAAAGGAAUAUCAAACGGAGUCCAAACGGAAUGAAACCUUUGGGAAAGUUAUUUUUGGAAAGAAAGCAAUCCGGGAGACUUGGAGUGCACAUCAGGGGAUCAACGAGGAAGGCACGAGGCAGGGGGGCGCGCCCACCCCCUGGGCGCGCCCUCCACCCUCGUGGGCCCCUCGUGGCUCCCCUGACGUAUUUCUUCCUCCUAUAUAUACCAAUAUACCCUAAAACCAUAGGGGAACAGAAGAGAUCCGGAGUUCCGCCGCCGCAAGCCUCUGUAGCCACCAAAAACCAAUCGGGACCCUGUUACGGCACCCUGCCGGAGGGGGGAUCCCUCACCGGUGGCCAUCUUCAUCAUCCCGGCGCUCUCCAUGACGAGGCGGGAGUAGUUCACCCUCGGGGCUGAGGGUAUGUACCAGUAGCUAUGUGUUUGAUCUCUCUCUCUCUCGUGUUCUUGAGGUGAUACGAUCUUGAUGUAUUGCGAGCUUUGCUAUUAUAGUUGGAUCUUAUGAUGUUUUCCCUUUGAAGUUAUCUUAUCGGAUUGAGUCUUUAAUGAUUUGAGAACACUUGAUGUAUGUCUUGCGUGGGAUAACCGUGGUGACAAUGGGUUAUUCUAUUGGUUCACUUGAUGUAUGUUUUGGUAAUCAACUUGCGGGUUCCGCCCAUGAACCUAUGGAUAGGGGUUGGCACAGGUUUUCGUCUUGACUCUCCGGUAGAAACUUUCGGGCACUCUUUGAGGUUCUAUGUGUUGGUUGAAUAGAUGAAUCUGAGAUUGUGUGAUGCAUAUCGUAUAAUCAUACCCACGGAUACUUGAGGUGACAUUGGAGUAUCUAGGUGACAUUAGGGUUUUGGUUGAUGUGUGUCUUAAGGUGUUAUUUUACUACGAACUCUAGGGCUGUUUGUGACACUUAUAGGAAUAGCCCAAUGGAUUGAUCGAAAAGAAUAACUUUGAGGUGGUUUCGUACCCUACCAUAAUCUCUUCGUUUGUUCUCCGCUAUUAGUGACUUUGGAGUGACUCUUUGUUGCAUGUUGAGGAUUGUUAUAUGAUCCAAUUAUGUUUUUAUUGUUGAGAGAACUUGCACUAGUGAAAGUAUGAACCCUAGGCCUUGUUUCCUAGCAUUGCAAUACCAUUUACGCUCACUUUCAUCAUUAGUUACCUUGCUGUUUUUAUAUUUUCAGAUUACAAAAACCUAUAUCUACCAUCUAUAUAGCACUUGUAUCACCAUCUCUUCGCCGAACUAGUGCACCUAUACAAUUUACCAUUGUAUUGGGUGUGUUGGGGACACAAGAGACUCUUUGUUAUUUGGUUGCAGGGUUGCUUGAGAGAGACCAUCUUCAUCCUACACCUCCCACGGAUUGAUAAACCUUAGGUCAUCCACUUGAGGGAAAUUUUCUACUGUCCUACAAACCUCUGCACUUGGAGGCCCAACAACGUCUACAAGAAGAAGGUUGUGUAGUAGACAUCAAGCAGUUUCUGGCGCCGUUGCCGGGGAGGUGAGUGCUUGAAGGUAUAUCUUUAGAUCUUGCAAUCGAAUCUUUUUGUUUCUUGUUUUAGCACUAGUUUAGUUUAUAAAAGAAAACUACAAAAAAAAUGGAAUUGAGUUUGUCUCAUACGCUUCAUCUUUUUAAUAUCUUUCGUGAGUAUGAUGAAAAGGAAAAUUGUGCCAAAGUGUUAGAAGAAGAAUGCAUUAAAAUGUUUGGCACUAAAUCUUUGAAUGAUGAGCAUGAUUGCAAUGUUGUUAGUAUGAACUCCUUGAAUAUCCAUAGUACUAAUGAUGAUUGCACUAGUCAUGAUGAAAAUAUCUCUUAUAAGGAUGUCGAUUUUUGUGGAGUGCAUUGGGUUUGCAAGUACACACCAAAUAGGGAAGAUAGAUAUUGCAAGAGGCAUAAGCAUUUAGAAACUAAAUGGUUGCAAGAAAGGCUAGAUGUUUGUGCUGAAAAUUUAAAUUUUCUUAGCCGUACUUGUGAACUUUGCAAUGAACAUGAUCAUUUCAGUAACCAAUGCAAAUUGUUUCAUGAUCGUAUCGUGUCCAAAAAUUGUGAUGACUGGAUUUCCCUAGCAUAUCAUAAUGAACAUAGUUUGAUCUUGGGUUAUGAAGAAAUGAAACGCAUAACUAAGGUUAUUCCAGAAUUUGCCCUUGAUAGAGUUCUUCAUUUUGAUCUAGAGGAAAUUUAUAUGUAUUGUGCAGUGAAUUGCAUUGAAAAUCCUUAUAUUGCCAAUUACAUAAAGAAAAGAAAGCAAAUAGAAUAUGAAGAGAACACUAAUGAAAGGGAAGAGACUUCCCAAUAUCCUCCUAUUAUUUCUUAUGAUGAAUCAGGUAACGAGGAGGAGCCUUCUAUUCAACCAAUCUCAUUAAUAAGGAGCUCCAAAAAGAGGAUUGAACCCACACAUGAUGUGGUGAAGAAGAAGAAAAGAAAAAGUAAGAGAGGUAAAAAGAUAUCUCUCCCAAAUAAUGUUGCUCCUAUUAUUGUCGUGCCUCAUGAAAAUGAAUCAAAAAUAAUUGUGGAAGAUGAUGCACUUGAUGAUGAUCUCGUUAUGCCUAUUGCUUAUUAUGAUGAUUAUGAUUGGGAAGAUAAUGAUACUUCUUAUGAUCUUGAAAAUCUUUUUGGCACUUGUUUGGAAGAAUAUGAUAAUUGUUAUACUAUUGGUGCUAUCCAUACUAUUAAUGAUGAGAGUGAUUAUGCCUAUGAUAUGAAAAGGCCCAAACUUGGGGAUGCUAUGUUUGAUGAAGAUGAUGUUUUUGAGAAUAUAUUUGCUGCAAUUAAUGUUUGUCCCAAGCUUGGGGAUGCUACGUUUAAUGAAGAUGAUAUUUUUAGCCUCCAAAGUUUUGAUAUGCAAAUUUGUUAUGAUGAUAACAUGCCUCCUAAUUAUGAUGAUUAUAAUUAUGAAAGUGGAUUUGGAGAGGUCAUGACUUUAUUUAGUAAUGAUUCCACUAUCUUGGAAGAGGUUUCAAUUGAUUAUGAUGAGAACAAAGUUGCUAGUUAUGAUGAUUAUUGUGAUGAAACUUAUGCUAUAAAAAGUAGUGAUGAUUAUAUUUAUAAAACUUGUCAUGAUUAUGAUUACCCUUUUUCUGAACAUUACUCCUUUAAUGUGGAAACAAUUUAUAGUAUUCAAGUCUCUUAUGAUACUCCCACUAUUCCGAAUGAGAAGAACUUUGCUUAUGUGGAGAGUAGUAAAGUUUCUAUGCAAGUAGAUCAUGAAAAGAAUGAUUUAGGUUCUGGUUAUAUUGUUGAAUUCAUUCAUGAUGCUACUGAAAGUUAUUAUGAGGGAGGAAUGUAUGCUUGUAGGAAUUGCAAUAAUAUCAAGUUUCCUCUCUAUGUGCUUAAAAUCUUGAAGUUAUGCUUGUUUUACCUUCCUAUGCAAGUUGAUUCUUGUUCCCAUAAGUUGUUUGCUCACAAAAUCUCUAUGCAUAGGAAGUGGGUUAGACUUAAAUGUGCUAGUCAUGCUCUUCAUGAUGCUCUCUUUAUGUUUCAAUUCUUAUCUUUUAUGUGAGCAUCAUUGAAAUCGUCAUGCCUAGCUAGGGGCGUUAAACGUUAGCGCUUGUUGGGAGGCAACCGAAUUUUAUUUUAGUUUCUUGCUUUUUGGUUCUGUUUAGGAAUAAAUAAUCCAUCUAGCCUAUGUUUAGAUGUGGUUUUAUGUUUUAAUUAGUGUUUGUGCCAAGUAAAACCUUUGGGAAGACUUGGGUAAAGUCUUUAUGAUCAUGCUGUAAAAAAACAGAAACUUUAGUGCUCACGAGAUUAGCUAAAACUUUUUACUGGAGAGUGCUAUUUAGUUGAUUCUUUUUGAAGAUGAUUACUAGACAAAUUCCUCAGGUCCACCAAUUUAUUUUAGAAUUUUUGGAGUUCCAGAAGUUUGCGUUAGUUACAGAUUACUACAGACUGUUCUGUUUUUGACAGAUUCUGUUUUUCGUGUGUUGUUUGCUUAUUUUGAUGACUCUAUGGCUAGUAAAAUAGUUUAUAAACCACAGAGAAGUUGGAAUACAGUAGGUUUAACACCAAUAUAAAUAAAUAAUGAGUUCAUUACAGUACCAAAAGUGGUGAUUUAUUUUCUUAUACUAACGGAGCUUACGAGUUUUCUGUUAAGUUUUGGGUAAAUAUUCGAUGGACUACGGAAUAAGGAGUGGAAAGAGCCUAAGCUUGGGGAUGCCCAAGGCACCCCAAGGUAAUAUUCAAGGACAAACAAGAGCCUAAGCUUGGGGAUGCCCCGGAAGGCAUCCCCUCUUUCGUCUUCGUUCAUCGGUAACUUUACUUGGAGCUAUAUUUUUAUUCACCACAUAAUAUGUGUUUUGCUUGGAGCGUCAAUUUAUUUUUUUAGUAUUUGCUUGCUGUUAUUUAGAAUAAUGUUUUUCAUCUCUAUUUUCAAUAAAUAUGUCAAGGAUAGCUUUUACCAUGGUUAUUUUGCAAGUCUACAUGUUGCUGUUUCAAAACAGAAAGUUUACCGCUGUUGCGAAAAUUCCCUAGAAAAUUCAGAAUGUGAUAAAAUGUUGAAACCUUUUGCAUAUUAAGAUAUGAUAAAUUCACUACAGUGGGAAUUUUCUUUCAUAAUUUUUGGAGCUAGGAAAGUAUGGAUCUUGCUGCAUUCUUUACAGACUGUCCUGUUUAGGCAGAUUGAUGUUAUGUUUGCAUUGUUUGCAUAUGUUUGCUUGUUUAAUGAUUCUAUUUGAGGAUAGGAGUAUUAAAUAUGCAGAGGCAUUUGGUAUGCAAUGCUGAAUACUAAUUUUAGUGAUUUGCUACAGUAGAGUAUGAUAAGGUUUUUGCAUUGGUUUAUACUAACUUAUCUCACGAGUCUUUGUUGAGUUUUGUGUGGAUGAAGCUUUUGAGAUUUAAGAAGACCGUGAUAUGAGUGGAAUUAAGGAGACACAAAAGCUCAAGCUUGGGGAUGCCCAAGGCACCCCUAGUUAAUAUUUCAAGAAGUCUCAAGCAUCUAAGUUUGGGGUUGCCCCGGUAGGCAUCCCACCUUUCUUCUUCAACAAUUAUCGGUUAGUAUCGGUUGAGCCUAAGUUUUUGCUUCUUCACAUGAUGAGUGCUAUCCUUGAAAUGCCGUUUUCUUUUGUUUUGCUUGCUGUAUGAAUACAAUACCAAGAUCUGAAAUUAUUAAAUGAGAGAGAGUCUUCACAUAGCUACAUAAUUAUUUAACUACUCAUUGAUCUUCACUUAUAUCUUUUUGGAGUAGUUUGUCAUUUACUCGUGUGCUUCACUUAUAUCCUAUGAGUAAAUGGUUGAAUGAUUUGAAUGUCAUAAAUCUGAAAUUAUAUAUGUUUCAUAUGCUUAUCCCAUGGGGAGUAAUGACUUUACAUAUAAGAAGUAGAGGUGGUAAAUUUAUUGAAGGUUAGCAAACAUUGUAUUGGUCACUUGAACAAUUCAUGAAAGAAUAUUGAAGGAAGAGAGAUUUCACAUAUAAAUAUAUUAUCUUGGACAUCUUCUAUGAUUGUGAGCCCCAUUAAUUAUUUUCAAACCUUAGCAAAUUAGUUGAAGGUGGACAAGGAAGACAACAUAAUGAGUUAUGCUUGGGUAUAUUUGUAUAGAAGUUAUAUUGUUAUGGAUCCUCUAACAUGUGGUGCUUGCUAUUUAGAAUCCUUUGCUAGCCAAAAUAUCUGUACUAAGCAGGAAUACUGCUUGUGCAUCCAGAAUCCUUGAACCAAGUUUCUUCCAUGAGUGUCCACCAUAUCUACCUAUAUGCGGUAUUUACCUGCCGUUCCAAGUAAUUUUGCAUGUGCCAAUCUCUAAAACUUCAAAUAAUAAUCUCUUUUGUAUGCCCGAAUCGCUCAUGUAGCGACUAGGGGCUAGCAGUAUCUUCCAUGCUAGGUGGGUUAUUCUCACGAUGAGUGGACUCCGCUCAUCAUUCACGAGAAAAUGGCUGGUAACUGGGAUGCCCAGUCCUAUGAUCAAAAGAUCAAAAACAAAUUCGCAAAUAAUUUAAACAAAACUCCCCCUGGAUUGUUGAAAGUUGGACGGCACCCGUUGUUUCAGACAAGCCAUGGAGUGUGAUCGUUGGUGGAGGGGGAGUAAAAUCUUUACCUUUCUGCGUGGGAACCGCCUAUGAUGUAUCUAGUAUGGAAGAUAUUGGGAACUCUUGGUCGUUAUGCUGACAAUGAAAGCAUACCUCUCAAAAUUAUUUUCAUCUCUGUUUUUGCUUCGAGCUCUGGCACCUCUGCAAAUCCCUGCCUCCCUCUGGGAAGGGCCUAUCUUUUGCUUUUAUGCAAGAGUCAGUAGUAUUCCUUCUCAUUCCAACCUACUCUUUAGUUGGCAAGAAUCAUAUGAUGGAAAGAUCUAAGCAUAUAUGGCCAUUCAAAUAUAUUUGAUCAUGAAUUAUUACUGUUGACAUUACCCUUGAGGUAAAAGGUUGGGAGGCAAAAUAUUAAGCCCCUAUCUUUCUCUGUGUUCGAUGAAUACUAUUUGUUCUAAAAAUAUGCUUUGAGUGGUAGCAAUCAUGGAAGACUAAAUGAUAGUUGAGUAUGUGGAGUUUGCUAAAUCAAAGCUCUGACAUAGACUCUUCCUGAAAAUAAGAUGAAUUGUAAUUGUUUGAUGACUGAUAACACGGUUUGUUAGUUUUCAAGAAGGUUUAUGAUCUAUACUUUAACAUGUGAAUAGCUUGUUACUUGAUCAUGAAAAGUUCUAUGAGUUGAGCUACUGUUAUGACAUAUAAUGAUGCUAGAAAAGGUGAUUGAAAUUAUCAUUGAUCAAACUUAUGAACCUGCUAGCAUUCACACUUCAUAAAUUCUUUCUUUUAUCAUUUACCUACUCGAGGUUGAGCAUGAAUUAAGCUUGGGGAUGCUGAUACGUCUCCGACGUAUCUGUAAUUUAUGAAGUAUUCAUGCUAUUAUAUUAUCCGUCUUGGAUGUUUAUGGGCUUUAUUAUGCACUUUUAUAUUACUUUUGGGACUAACCUAUUGACCCAGAGCCCAGUGCCAGUUUCUGUUUUUUCCCUUGUUUCAGUGUUUCGAAGAAAAGGAAUAUCAAACGGAGUCCAAACGGAAUGAAACCUUCGGGAAAGUUAUUUUUGGAAAGAAAGCAAUCCGGAGACUUGGAGUGCACGUCAGGGGAUCAACGAGGAAGGCACGAGGCAGGGGGCGCGCCCACCCCCCUGGGCGCGCCCUCCACCCUCGUGGGCCCCUCGUGGCUCCCCUGACGUAUUUCUUCCUCCUAUAUAUACCAAUAUACCCUAAAACCAUCGGGGAACAGAAGAGAUCGGGAGUUCCGCCGCCGCAAGCCUCUGUAGCCACCAAAAACCAAUCGGGACCCUGUUCCGGCACCCUGCUGGAGGGGGAUCCCUCACCGGUGGCCAUCUUCAUCAUCCCGGCGCUCUUCAUGGCAAGGAGGGAGUAGUUCACCCUCGGGGCUGAGGGUAUGUACCAGUAGCUAUGUGUUUGAUCUCUCUCUCUCUUGUGUUCUUGAGGUGAUACGAUCUUGAUGUAUCGCGAGCUUUGCUAUUAUAGUUGGAUCUUAUGAUGUUUAUCCCCCUCUACUCUCUUGUAAUGGAUUGAGUUUUCCCUUUGAAGUUAUCUUAUCGGAUUGAGUCUUUAAUGAUUUGAGAACACUUGAUGUAUGUCUUGCGUGGGAUAACCGUGGUGACAAUGGGUUAUUCUAUUGAUUCACUUGAUGUAUGUUUUGGUAAUCAACUUGCGGGUUCCGCCCAUGAACCUAUGCAUAGGGAUUGGCACACGUUUUCGUCUUGACUCUCCGGUAGAAACUUUGGGGCACUCUUUGAGGUUCUAUGUGUUGGUUGAAUAGAUGAAUCUGAGAUUGUGUGAUGCAUAUCGUAUAAUCAUACCCACGGAUACUCGAGGUGACAUUGGAGUAUCUAGGUGACAUUAGGGUUUUGGUCGAUGUGUGUCUUAAGGUGUUAUUUUACUAUGAACUCUAGGGCUGUUUGUGACACUUAUAGGAAUAGCCCAAUGGAUUGAUCGGAAAGAAUAACUUUGAGGUGGUUUCGUACCCUACCAUAAUCUCUUCGUUUGUUCUCCGCUAUUAGUGACUUUGGGGUGACUCUUUGUUGCAUGUUGAGGGAUAGUUAUAUGAUCCAAUUAUGUUAUUAUUGUUGGGAGAACUUGCACUAGUGAAAGUAUGAACCCUAGGCCUUGUUUCCUAGCAUUGCAAUACCGUUUACGCUCACUUUUAUCAUUAGUUACCUUGCUGUUUUUAUAUUUUCAGAUUACAAAAACCUAUAUCUACCAUCUAUAUAGCACUUGUAUCACCAUCUCUUCGCCGAACUAGUGCACCUAUACAAUUUACCAUUGUAUUGGGUGUGUUGGGGACACAAGAGACUCUUUGUUAUUUGGUUGCAGGGUUGCUUGAGAGAGACCAUCUUCAUCCUACGCCUCCCACGGAUUGAUAAAUUUUAGGUCAUCCACUUGAGGGAAAUUUGCUACUGUCCUACAAACCUCUGCACUUGGAGGCCCAACAACGCCUACAAGAAGAAGGUUGUGUAGUAGACAUCACUCACCCAUAGUGAAGUAUGGGGGAGCAAUCAUGUAGUCUUCACCGAGCCAAUGCAAUCAAGAAAGACGGUCCAACUUGAGGGAGUCAAGAUCGUCAUCAUCUAGCUCAAGUGGACCAUGUGCAAGGCAAAGGUUUGCCCUUGAUAGGUUUUCUAUUUUACCGGUCUCAUGGUGGUAGUUGGGAGACCGGGUUAUAGGAUCGAUUGCCGUACUAUCAAGGGGGGCUCUCGAUGAGUAGCUUGAUCGUAUCAUUCGUAGAGAGCUCAAAACAUUGCAUGCUUGCAUCAUCUUUCUUGGUUCUUGGUUGGUUAUCCUUGUGAGUCUUAUGGUCAUCUUGAUGACAAGCUCGAGUUCUUCAAAAACCGAUUUCUUAUGCAUCUUCUUUUGUGUUUUUGUGUUGGAGUUUUUACUGGUCUUAAUUGAGAAAGGGUUCUCACCAUUUUAUUUUGGGUAUUUUCUCUAUUGCUAUUUCUUGAUAUUAAUAUCAAGAUUGUGUUUGCUCUUGUCUUUAGCUUUCCAACAAACUUGAUUUCGUCAAAUUCGGAGCUCGUGUGUGAAAGUUGUGGCUGUUUUGAUCUUACCUGUUUCACAUAGAGAGGUUGUACCGCCCCUUUGAGAGGUUGUACCGGUUGACCGGUACAACCGGUGUUUGGAGCGGUUGUACCGCUCCAGAAUUGGUCCGAAGGUUGUACCGGCCAUGUACCGCUCUACCACUGGACUAGUUUCUGUUUUGGAGCGGUUCUUGGGCGGUUGUUGACCAGUUGUACCGGUUAGUUUAGUUUAACCAGUACUACCGGUUCCCCGGACUGUUGUACCGCUUAGGCUUUUUUCCUACAGGUUGGUUUUUCCUCUACUUUGACCGGUUGUACCGCUUCGUGCACCGGUUGUACCGGUCUUACAGUUUUCUGCACAUAACGGACAGAUUCGUGGGACCUAUAAAAGGGGGUCUUCUUCCCCAUUGAACCUUAUCCUUUGAGCUCGUGUUCUUCCCCCAUUGUUGACCUUCUUCGAGCUUGCUAUCUCUCAAUCCCUCCAUGGAUUCUUGCUAGUUUUGGGGGGAAAAGAGAGAGGAGAUCUAGAUCUACAUUUCCAUCAAUCACUUUCUCCUCUAUGUGAGGGGAACCCCUUGGAUCUAGAUGUUGGAGUUCUUGGUGUUCUCCUUCUUGUUCUUCCUCUCAUUUUUCUCCCUAGCAUUAGUUGCUUUGGUGGGAUUUGGGAGAGAAGGACUUGGGCACUCCGUGUGCCCUUGCCAUUGCAUUUGGUGCAUAGGUUUGAGUUCUCCACGGUGAUACGUGGAAGUUACAAGUUGAGAAGCUUAUUACUCUUGGGUGCUUGGUACCCUUGAGCUUGUUCCUCUUGGGUGCUUGGGCGCCCUAGACGGUUGGUGGUGUAAAGCUCCGGGCAAGCGUCGGGGUCUCCAAUUAGGUUGUGGAGAUCGCCCCGAGCAAUUUGACGGGUUUCGGUGACUGCCCCCAAGGGUUGCCAAAGUGUACGGGUUCGGUGACCGCCCCCAAGGGUUGCCAUUUGUACGGGUUCGGUGACCGCCUUCAAGGGCCCCUUAGUGGAAUCACAGCAUCUUUCAUUGUGCGAGGGCGUGGGGAGAUUACGGUGGCCCUAGUGGCUUCUUGGGGAGCAUUGUGCCUCCUCACCGCUCCAAACGGAGAUUAGCAUCCGCAAGGGUGUGAACUUCGAGAUACAUCGUCGUCUCCGCAUGCCUCGGUUAUCUCUUACCCGAGCCCUUUACUUAUGCACUUUACUUGUGAUAGCCAUAUUGUUUUUUGUCAUAUAUCUUGCUAUCACCUAGUAGUUUAUCUUGCUUAGCAUAAGUUGUUGGUGCACAUAGGUGAGCCUAGUUGUUGUAGGUUUUGUGCUUGACAAAUUAACCGUCAGGUUUAUUCCGCAUUUGUUCAAGCCUAAAUCGUAAUUAUUUUAAAGCGCCUAUUCACCCCCACCCCUCUAGGCGACAUCCACGUUCUUUCAAGUACCAAUGCCACUAUGCUUCCUUUCUUCUUAGAAAACAUUUUUUCUCUGUUUGUAAGUAAGUAUACACGCAAGUACGAUACACCGUGUGUUUAAAUUAUAGUAGAGAGCAAAAAUUGCACUGAACAUGUUUAUUUUUUGCAUACUACGAAAUGUGCAAUUUCAGGGCAAACUUGUAUACAAGUCUUUCUUUUUAUUUUCUUUCUUUUUGAAGGGUUUCAUUAUUCCAUACAAAUUUUCGUUAUUUUGUUUUUAUUUUAGUUUUUUAUUUUAUUUCUUCUUAAAGGGCUUCAUUCUUGAUUCUUCCAUAGAAAACUUCAUUAUUUAGUUUUUUAUUUUCCUUCUUCUUAAAGGUUUCAUUCUUCCCUAGAAAACUUCAUUAUUUGUUUUUCAUUUUGUUUUUUAUUUUAUUUCUUAAAGGGUUUUGCUCUUCCCUAGAAAAUUUAUCAUUUUGUUUUUGUUUCUUUUAUUUUCUUUCUUCUUAAAGGGUUUCAUUCUUCUCUAUAAAACUUCAUUAUUUUGUUUUUGUUUUAGAAAAAAAAUCAUAUUCUUUAUUUAAGGGUAAUACCAAUAUCGUUCCACUAUUAUAUGGUUAUUCUUGCAUAUUAUAAAAAAGGUAAUUUAUGUGUGAAAUGUGUGCAAAUUUUGUCAUCAUCUUCAUCUUAAGGGUAAUACCAACGCCAUUAAUUUAUUCUUUCUUAGAAAACUGCUUUUAUUUCCGUUUGUAUGUAUACACGUAAGUAUUAUACAAUAUGUGUGUAAAUUAUACUAGAUUGUGAAAAUUGCACAAUUAUAUGUUUAUUCUUUGUGUAUUACAAAUGUGCAACUUGACUGUAAAGUUGUUUGCAAGUUUUUUUUUCCUUAAAGGCAAUACCAAUGGCUCAACUACAUUUUUCUUAGAAAACUCUAUUAUUUUAUUUUUAUGUGUGUGCUUUUAUUUCUCAUGUAUGUGCUCAUAUCCAUCAAACCUGAAAAGUUCAACUCUGAACGGUGAUGUGUGUCGCCCAUAUUCAAGUUCAACUCUGAACGGUGAUGUGUGUCGCCCAUAUUCAUGCAUGACAUGCCAAACAAUUGCAUGCACGAAUAUUCCGGGCCUGAUUGAUAUAUGUGCUUGCUUCGAGUGGAACUGAACCGUUUCCACCUCUAAACAGAUUUUCUGCUACACACUUGGCUAGAAGAAAAAAACAUACGCAUGGGCUGUUCACAAAAAAAAAGCACACGCGUGCAAAUUGUACAUAAACUUUUUCUGAAAACGAAGAGAAUUGGUUGUACAAUUUCCUAACAUUUUAUGGCAGUCGAUAUAAAAUAUAGUUGACACGUGUGACUUUUAAAAAAAAUAUAGUUGAACCAUAUAAAAUGGACAAAUCAUAUAUUCCAUCCUUAUUGUAUUUUAUGCUUAUAAAAUAUUAGAUAAUUGCAUCAAAUAUGGAUGGUCGCGGCAACGCGCGCUAUCAUGAUCUCAUGUAUUGUUAUUACUAUAAGGAUUGGGCGCGCUUCGCCGUGCGGUUGGUGUUGUUAGAAUUUCAUAAAUAGAAUUGUUUUGUUUGGUGUUUGGGGGGAUAAUGAAUUGUUUCUUUUUUAUAAUACUAUAUUUUAAUUGCCUUGUUUUGGAGGUAUAAUUAUGUGUUAUCUGCAAAUUAACGCACACUUAUGCAAGGAAGUUUCUUGCAGUGUGGUGACCCCAUUUGUUAUAUUGGUGCUAUUUUGUCGCAUGUUGGUAUUUAUUAUUUGUCAGGUGAUAAGAGAGUGCGAGACUGAUGUAUUUUAUAAGCUGGUUGUCGCAGAUUGACUUAAUAAAUCAUUGACCAGUCAAAACCAUGAACCAAAUUCAACAUUGAACACCUCACUUGAAUGAGAGAGCUCCUUGAGAAAUUAUUAACCAAUUCAAAAAUUGGAAACUCAAUCCAAAAUUAUAUUGGUGCUAGAGUGUUGCAUGUUGGCAUUUUUUUGUCAGGUGAUGAGAGCAGUCGUGAGACUAGGGAUGGCAAUGGGUCGGGUUUGGACCGGGUGUAGCUGUUCCAAAUCCAACCCAUGACCCAUCUUCCAGCCCUCUACCCAUCCACCAAAGUAUCCAUGGCCAUAGCUUGUGCCCAUGCCAGAACCCGUUGGUUACCCAGGUACCCAUGGAGCUCCAUGGGCAUAGAAAAAUCACCAUGCAAUGCCUUACAAACAUAAAAUUAAUUCACUGCACUAUUCGGUUAACUCCUAGUAAAUUUGAUCUCUAAGCUGAUCUCACCUUCUCACUUGCACCUAGUUCAUAUAAAAUCUCAUACAUGUUCUAAGAGAGAGCAUCGGAUAUGGCCUUCGGUAUUGAUGGUGCUACCUUCACCUGUGCACGAAACUCCUUUGCUAGUCGACGAGCAUGCGUGCUCCUCGACAGCAUGACAAGAGACUCGGCCCUGCUCUCCCGCUGGUUGCCGCCAUCGUCGGCCACUUCACUUGAUGUUGAUCGCCUUCUCGUUCGCGCUCUGAUGAAUGAUGGGACCGUUCUUGGUGCAACCGCUGGCUCGCUACCUUGUUCACUAGAGACUAGUCGUCGAUUGGGGAAUGAGAGAGGGGGUGGGAUGAGGUCAUAGGGCUAUGGGUAGUCGCUACCUUGCCUGUCACUAAUGGUGGUCGAGAUGCGGGGUGGACGGCCAGGUAGAGAGGGAGAGGCGGCAUGGCAUGGCUCGACGGUGAUUAUGGCGUAGAGCGCUGCCACAUAUGGGAGGGCUUGGGGCAGGGGAUAGGAGUGGCAGGAGGCAGCCAGGCUAGUUUUAGGUUUAUACGUAGAGGAUUAGGAAACAUGGGAUGGGCUUUUGCAUUUUUGUGAAUGCAAGUCGUGGUUAGUCUAGUGUCACUAACAUAUGAGCUCACAUAUCAUAUGAGUAUCCAUUGAAUAUCCAUGGAGCAAAAAAUAUAACCAUGCCCAACCCAGUUGCUCGUGGGUAUCCAGAUCCAUGGAUCCGUGGGUAGAAAGGCCCUCCAUACCCUUGCCCAACCGGGCCAGGUAUCCAUGGGUACCCGGAUUUAUGGAUAAAAUUACCAUCCCUACGUGAGACAUGUAUAUUUUUAUAAGUUCGUUGUUGUCGAUUGAUUUGAGAAAUCAUUGACUAGUAAAAAUCAUCAACCAAAUUUAAAAUCGAACACCGCACUUGGAUGAAAGAGCUCCUUGAAAAAAUGCAGACCAAGUCAAACUAGAGAACCAAUCCAAAACCACAUUGUCCUCAUUUGAAUGAGAGGCCUUUAACCCUUAGGAAGCUUAGUGAUAUAGUAGAUAGACUGUAUUAUUAUUAGUUCUUAUAAUAGUUUAACGAAAGACCAUCAUGACUAAUUUAUUAAUCAUCAAACAAUUACAUCAUCCACAAGUUCGGGUAACAACGAUCUCAUGUUUCAUUGAUGCAAAACAUGUUAACUUUUCGCAGAAAAGGAAGUGUUAGCUAGCUCAGGAGCCACUUCAUUCACCCUUCUUGGACAAUGUCGAAUUCAACCUUCCCACUGAGAUAAACCAUAGUAGGCCCUGAUUGUUUGGGUUGUAGUUGAAUGAGAAGCACUUGGAGCUGCUAGAAGCUGAGAAGCAGCUGGAGCUGGUAGAAGCAGUGAAGACCAAAAAAAUGUGCCUAGCAAGUACUUUUAGGACGACCGGUGAGUCUGUAGCUAAUAGUGAAAGUUUGAAAUGCCCCUAUAUGCAAAAGAUGUUAUCUAAGCACUCAUUUGACAUGAUUUGUCUGAUCAAUAUGUAUAUAAUCUCAAAUAAUUCAUUGAACACCUAAUUUAGCUUGAAAUAAUUUAAUUUCCCAUUGCAAAGUAAUUAUAACUAAUAAAUUUUGGUAUUUUUUUGUUUAAGGAUUUCUUCCAUGACCACAUAAAACUAGUGCCGGUGUUUUUAUCUAAUGCGUGCAAUGAGGAAUUUGGUAGAGUAGAUGCACGGUGCAUAUAGGAUAGUAGACUGUUGCUGCUAGCUAACAACGAUGGCAAAUUUCAAUCCUAGGCAACAAGUUACACAAAUCUUUCGUUCUAACAUUUGACAACUCAAAAAAUUGGAAUGCCACAAAGUGAAAUCUUCAAACGCACUGAAGCUUAGGGGAAUUUGCUAGAUCCUUUGAACAUCAACAUGGCAAAAGACCGGUCUCAUCAAAUCUUCAUAUCAAAUUCCCGACACAUAGGUUUCUACCUGGAAAGUCAAUAAAGUCCAAUGUGUUCAACCCAAGGCAAUCAAGCCAAGUCCAAGGCAAAUAACUAAACUCAAAUAAAAAGAAAAUGUCAACAAGGAUGGAAAAAGCAAACGAUCCCAACACUAGAAGAGCCCAAAAGUAUCCAAGGGCCAUCAUGGGAGAGGGAUGAGAGGGAAUGGACGUAAGGCAUGUAGCGCUUGGUCCUGUACAGACCUACUGAACGUUCCUUUGAGUGCUCCGUUGACAAAGAUUUCAUUUUCAUUCGUCUUGGUCUUUGUUCUUUUGUUUUUCAAAAAAAAAAUUAUCAGAAGAAAACUAUAUAGGUUUGUUCCGACAGAGUUAAAAUAUAUUUCAUGAUUAAAAAGUGACUAGGAGUUUAGAAAAAUGUCCAUGAAGUUAAAAAAUGAGCAUAAAUUUAAAAAUGUUCCCAGAAAGUUAAAGAUUGUUCACAAAAUUUCAAAAAAAAGGGAAAUGUAAGAUGCCCGCCUUUUGUUGAAAUGUUCGUGAAUUAAAAAAGUUGCCAAAGCUAAAAUAUGUUUUCAAAUUUAGAAAAUGAUAAAAAAAAUAAACAAAAUGUAUGAGAAUAAAUCCGUAGAAAACUGAUGAAAGAGACACACCAAAGAGAAAACCCAAGAAAAAUCAUGCAUGAGAAAUAGAAGAAAACCGCUCGACUGUAUGUAAUGCUCCAUUUCUAGUUGGCUUAAUCCAAGUCGCUAUUGCUUCGUGCAUUAGGUUGACAAUUUGACGCAAUAAGCAUCAAAUAGGAUUUCUCGGCUCACUACAAACUAUGACACCUCCACCUUUGACUAGUCGACCAUGGGCCAGUGGACCAAACUUUUAUCUCAUACCCUUCACAUGUGCCACCAGUCUUGUUUCCACCUUUCUCAUAUAAUCCAUGUUGUGGCCCCAAAGUGCAAGAGUUUGCGCCAAGUGAUAACUUUCCCCUUACAUGAGAAUCAAGGUAUCAAUAGGUAGAGAUAACACCCCUAAUCUGAGUCAAACACCACUACAAAACAAAUGAAGAACUCACUUGUCCCUCCUUUUGUUCUUGUCACAAACCAAUAUCCCUCGUACCACUCAAGUUGUGGUUCAGAUAAAGAGCAAUGUUAGUAAUUAAACCACCACAACAAAUCACACCUGGUGGUUGCGCCAUCUACUAGAGGAAGUGUGUGACCAUGGGUACAACCAAGUUAGGCUUCAAGCAUCACUGUGCAUGAAGCGCGUUGUGGAGGACACGCAUCUUAGGGUUCUUCCAUUUUGCAUCACUAUUUCUUAUUAUGAACUGCUUAUAAUUAUCCAUAUUUUGCACAUUUUCAUACCAUUCUUAUGUAUUUUUUUCUUGAUUUACAUGCUUCAAAGGAGGAAGGGGAAUUGCUGGAAAACAUUAGAAAAGACCAAAAAGAAGAGCAACGAAGUCCAAGAGCUUAUAAAAAUAACUCACGGGACAAGAGUCGGGGGCAAAAAUUGGGCCAGGGAGGCACCUAUGGAUCCCACGUAGCCCCACCUGGAGGAUUGGCCCUAGGCUGCGAGCUAGGGGCGGUUGGUCCCACAUGGGAUCUUCCUACCUCCCUCCAACGACCCUAAUCCCAUUUUACCCUACAACCUAGACCUCCAAUUUAUGGGAAUUUUCUACCUCCGUCUUCGAGGUAGAAACAAAGUUGAGCAUUUUUCUCUCCCAAAAGGCUGAUCUGUGGGGUUGUUUGCCAUCACGAGGACCUUCUCCACCGGCUAUAUCGAGUCAUAGUGCCAUUGAAUUUAUUAAUAACAAUGCAACCAUACUGUAUUUAUGGGAGACCCUAAUUAUGUUCUUAGCCAUGCAUAUUUACUAAUGUUAACCCUCAGAUUUGAUUAAGUGGUAAGAGGAACCACUAACUUGUGGAGAUACUUGACCCAUUGAGCUGAAAGCUCGAUAGAGUCUCGGCGGGGAAUAUUUUACAUCAUGAGGAAAGGUGAUGAGGUCCAACCCCUCUCUCUUAAAGUACAGUAGAGCUUCAUUGGUGACAUUAUAGAAGUGUGUGAGUUAAUGGGUAAAAUAUACAAGCUCCGCAGAGUGAAAAAAUAUUUGACUAGUCAUUGUCCAUGGUCAUGGACGGAGUCGGGAUAAGUGUACAAGAAGUAAACACAUCCGAUAAACACAAAACAUUCAGGGAACCACCAAAUCAGCCAUCACAUUAUACUCGAGGAAAUCAACGAAGUAGGACAUAACAAACAAACGCCUAUCUCAUGUACUGUUCACGCAAGAACCGUACAACUACAAACUGGAACAAUUACAGUUCUUACAAGAAGUUAAACACAAGGAUAAGCACACAAAAUUCGGAGAUCAGACAAGCAAAAAAUUCACAAUUCUUUUUUCCAGGAUAAGCACAAAAAAUUCACGGAACAGCAAGCAAAAAUCAUCAACCUGUAACUGCCCGUUCACCAACUCCAUGACGUCAAACUCGAGGAUAGGCUUGAAUGCCCAGCUUUUUACAGAAAGCUUAAAGCAAUACAGAUCAAGAACGAGGAAAGAUACACAGGCGAGACUAGCUUAAGACAAUAAAAGUAGUUCAUCAGGCCAAACUUGAGACAAUCAAUAAAGUUCAUGACCAAUUUCACCAGAAAAUUAGUCCAGCACGCCAAACUUCAGGAGAUCAACAAGGUUUCAUGACCAAUUUCAGCACCAAAUCAGUUCAUCAUCUGCCAAAUUCGAGGAAAUCAACAGAAUUUCAUGACCAAUUUCACCGCCAAAGCAAGUUCAUCAUAUGCCGUACUAGAGGAAAUUUGACAGAGUUCGCGACCAACUUCACCACCUACUCGAUCCAAGACGAUCAACGACGCAAAACAAGGCAGAAAGGCACUAAACAUGACCACAUCAACAAGGCGUCUCUCACACUCUCUCGCCGGCCAUCCUCCAUGAGCACUACCACUAGGACUACUCGACCUUGACGUGGAAGACGUCCUUGCGCUCCUCCUCCUUGACCUUGAGCAG